rnacentral:lncRNA from 1 species
CGGCUGUUUGUUUCUCGGAAAGCGCCAUAAUUAUCAAUAGUAUUGUAGCCCAAAUAUAUAUAUAAAUCUAUAAAUCUAAUCUUACGAACAGUUAUGAUAAAUUUAUUAAAAAAUAUUUGGGCUAGAAUACUAUUGAUAGUAUUUGCCCUAUUUUACUAUCAAGUUUUUAGGCUUUGGAUCAAUCCUUUCAUCAAUUUUAAUAAUUGGAUUAAAUAUUAUAACCCAGUGGAGACCACUCAACCCUAGAAAACUACUCAACCCUAAGAGACUAAUAUCAUUCUAACUAUACAAUUUCUCAUCCAAGGGUUAAAACUUGAUAGCAAAAAAAACUUUUGCUAUCAAUAGUAUGCCGGCCUUACUCUAGAAAGAUAUUUUCAAUUAAUAAAUAAAUCCAAAUCUGAAUUUCAUGAUUACACUUCGAAAAGAUACACGUGGCACCUCCACGUUUUUUUUAUUUUAAAAUUUUCAUACAAAUAUAAAAAUUCAGACAAAUAUAUAAAUUGGUGGUUUGUUAGAUACACGUGGUGGCUCCACAUUUUUUUAGUAUUUUUUAUUUUGAAUUUUUCAUACAAAUAUAAAAAUUGACGGUUUGUUAGAUACACGUGGGGACUCCCUAGUUCAAAAUAUUAAUCAAAUUUAAAUUGAAAAUUUCGACCUUUUAUAGAAUACGACAAAUUAAUCAAGAUAAAAGUGGUGGAGUUUGAUAUUUUCUAUCAAUUUUGGACUAAGACACGAUAAAGUCAAAUUAAUUUGAACUUAUAAUAUUAUUAUCUUAAUUAAUGGCAAAUUUUGGAACGGAAAUGAGAGGUUUACCGGGGUUAAUUUAAUCGUAAAUUUGGGAAUGGAUAUUAGAGUUUGUUUAGGGAAUUUAGAGUUUGUUAAUUAGGGAGGAGGAUCAUGUGGACACGCAAUAGAGCUAGAUAUUAUCAUUAGGAAAUAAAUGGGAUUAAAAAAUAUUUACACGUGUUCAAUUAGUAGAUCAUUGCUGAAGAGAUAUAAAUUGCAAAAGACAAAAGAUAAGAAGUUAAUAUUAAAUAACAUCACAUUGUAAAUUUAUAUUAAAUAACAAACUCUAAAUUCCCUAACAAACUCAACCUAUGAGACCCCACCCAACCAAUGACACAAAAUUUUUUAUUAAAAUUUGUACAUUUAUAUUUCAAUUAAAGACUUGAAUUUAAACUUUAGUUUAAAUUUAAAUUCUAGUUCUAAAGUUUAAUUUAAAUUUUAAAUUAAAUAUUUAAAUUUAAAUUUUAAUCAAAUUAUUUUUAGCUACGAACUUCAAUUUGAACUUUGAAUUCAAAUUGUUCCGAACUAUAAUUCAAAUUCUAUUGAAUAUUGAAUUCCAAAUUUUAAUUUUAAAGUUAAAAAUUUAAUUUAAGUUACCAAUUAUAAUUUAAGCUUUAAAUUCAUAUUACAAAUUUAAUUAUUUGUCUUAAAUAUUAAUUAUAAAUUUAAUGUAAAUUUAAAAUUUAAAACUUAAAUUAGAAUUUUAAAUAUAAAAAUUACGUGCGUAAGUUGUUUGUUUAUAUUUUUCACUUCUUUAUUUAUUUAUAAUUAUUAUUUACCAUCACAAAUAUAUCUCUCUAAAAAUCAAAAUAGUAUAAUAUAAGAGAGAUAAAAAUAUUAAAAACUAAUCAAGAUUAAAUAUUUAAGCUAUGGUUAACUAAAAUUUUUUAACAGAUUCUAACGGAAGAGAUAUAUUUAAAAAUAUUAAGGCUUAGUUUGGUAUUGAGACCUAUCUAACGCUAUUAGACUAAAUGGAGUUGAGGAAAAAUAAAAAUCAUAUAGCGUUAUGCUUCUGCGUUCUCCGAUGAGACCGUAGCCAGAGAAUCGCAGCUCAUCGCGAUAUGCGGAAUGCAAUAUUAUGUACCGAAAACAAACCGGGUAGUUUUCCAACAUACUUUUUCACCGUACGUAAAGCAAUCUCUCCACAAUUCCAUACGAACCCUAAGUAAGUUUUUUACAGAAGCAAUAUAUAAUAAAAUUUAAACAUUGAGGAUAUACUUGUCAUUUAUUAUAUCUGCAGUAACCUUCGUAAAACUAACCCACCCUUCGUUUAAAUAGAUUAUUUUCCACCUCUCCGAUAAGUCAAUUGCAUUAUUAUUUUUCCUGGCUCUCUCUCUCUUCUCUCCCACUCCGAGUUUUCCAUGGACCGUAAGGAUCGUAUAUCCUACAUCGGCAUGAGUUCAAUAAUUGUGGCCGGAUUUGUGUGGUGGGGAUUGAUAAUCUUGGCCGGCAAAGAAAUUAAUUUAGAUUUCGAUCAGCACUUCUCGGUCGCUGAUGCUCGUCUCGCGCGCUUCAGCGCGUUCGCGGCGCCCAACGUCACAUCCGCCACUCUAUCCUACGACCUCCGCGCCGCGCUGCUUGUGUAUAAUCCGGUCCAGCUCGGCAUCACCUGCGAGUUCCUGAUGGGCAACUACUUCUUCAACGGCACCCACUUGGCGGGGCGGGUGGUCGCGCCGUUCCGCCUGGACAGCGAGACCGCCACCGAGCUCCGGAUGGACGUCGCGGGCGAUACGGAGGGACGCAUGGCGUUGCUGGACGAGUUCGAGAGGGGCAGCCGGACGGGGGUGUUCGACCUGGAACUGCGGCUCGACGGCUUCUUCUCCGCGCGAUGCCCGCUUACGCUGCCGUUGGCGCCGGCGGCCGGCGGCGGCACCGCCGUCGACACGAUAAAGUGCAAGCUGCUCGUCCUAAAACGAAGUUGCGGAGCAUUAUAAUCAAUGAGAUUAGUUUUUCAUUUUGCUUUUUCUAUUAUCGAAUAAUGGAAUUGCAUGCGCGUCUUAUAAUUAGCUAGGGUCGGUUAAUUAAUUAAUUUGGUUCCUUUGAAAAUUAAGUGUGAGAAAAAUUUUCUACACAUUUUUUUUUUUUUAGAUUUGUUUUAAAAUUUUUGUCUGUUUAAUUUUAGGAAAAAAUAAUUAUGUUAGAAACACUUUUUCUCGAAUUUUAUAUGAUUGGUUCUUAUUCAUCUAUUUUACAUUAAAAUUAAAACUUAAGUUUAAAUUAUGAAUUAAAUUUAAUUUUUGAUACCAAAUUUGAAUUAACAUUUAAUUUUUUUACUACAGUGGAUCAAAAUUAAAUUUUAAAUUUUAAAUUUUAAAUUAAAUGUAAAUUAAAUUUUGAUGCUUUUAGUUUAAAACACAUAUUUAAAUUUGAUUCAUCAAAAAUUAAAAAGUAUAUAAAAAAGGUUCGCUCUAUACAAAAAAUAGAAUGCUGUAGAAUAUUGUAAAUAUUUUCUAAUAAAAUAUAACAUAUUAAUUUAUAAAUAUAAUUUUUAUUGUAAAAUUUUGGAUUUAUAUAAUGUACAAAUUUAUAUAGAUUUGAAAUAAAUUAUAAUAAUUGUUACGUGCAUUUACACGUAUGUUCAACUAGUCCAUACAAAUAUAUAAAUUGAUGGUUUGUUAGAUACACGUGGUCCAUAUCUCGAGGUUUUCUCAGUAUUUUUUGUUUUGAAUUUUUCAUAUAAAUAUAAAAAUCGGCAGUUUGUUAGAUACACAUGGUUUCUCCACGUUUUUCUAAUAUUUUUUUUAUUUGAAUUUCAUCCAUACAAAUAUAUAAAUUGACGUGGCGCCACUAUGUUUUUCUAAUAUAUUUUUUAUUUUGAAUUUCAUCCAUACAAAUAUAUAAAUGAGCGGUUUGUUAAAUUAACGUGCCACCUCUACAUUUUCUCAGUAUUUUUUGUUUUGAAUUUUUCAUUAAGUAUAAAAAUUAACGGUUUGUUAGAUACACGUGGCGCCUCGACGUUUUUCCAAUAUUUUUUAUUUUGAAUUUCAUGAAUAUCUUACCUCGGUAAAGUAUGAAAUCUGGAUUUCAUAAUUACACUUCGGAAAGGUACCAAAGGUACUAAAUCUAUCUAAAUCUUUUCUGUGGCGGUUUGUUAUAUACACGUCGGUUUGGCAUGUUUGUUUGGGUAGAGGUUUGUUAUAUACACGUAGGUUUGGCAUAUUUGUUUGGGUGGAAGUGGGGUCACGAGUCUAAUAAUUUUUUGUCGAAAAGCUCACACGGCAAUUGUUCCUCACCUGCACAAACGAACCAGCCAAUCCGACCCGAUGCACAACUUUGCAAAUUGGCAACAACCGAGAAUUGAGAGAAAGCACGUAAAGGGAUCCUGCAAAUUGGCACAAACAACGAGUAUUUUAUUGAUAACGAAAAGUUGGACUACAAGCGAAAGGCACACAACUCGACUUGGUCGGGCAUGGCCGAUGAAGGCAAAAUGAUCACCAAGAUACUCUGCAUCUAGCGAAGCCGACUCACUUAAUACGUCUCACCUAACUUUCCCGUACUACUCUAUAUUGGCAUCCAGUCAUUUGACUAUCCGCGGGUUCACUCGUGCUACACAUCCAAGAGGAUAUAGGUAUUUCGCUAAGGAAGUCGUCUUCGUGCUAAACGACCACUUCCGUUAUUUGGUUCGUCGUAAAAAAGUUAUGGUCGAAACUCGAGUUAACCUCAAACGGCGUAAUUGACUUCGCCCCAUCGUGGGCCGAAGUCAAUUACGGUGAAGAGAGGUGAAAAAAAUAAUAAAAUAAUAUAAUAGAUAAAGCUAGUUAGAUAUAAAUAUAUUUAAUUAUGUUACUAAUUAUUUUUUUAUUCAGUUAAUAUAUCUAAAAUAUGAUAAAAUUUGAUGAGUUAUGUUUUAAAAUUUUUUUAUUUAGUUUGUAUAUUUAAAAUAUGAUAAAAAUUGAUUAAUUAAGUAUUCAUAUUUUUUUACUUUAUAAUUUCAUUAUUGUAUUACUAUAAUUUAUAUAUAAAAAAUAAUUUAGUUGUUUUAAAUUAAAUUUUAAUUAUAUAAAAAUAUAAUUAUAUUAUUUUUAUUUAUUAAAAUAUUUAUUAUUUAUAUAUAAAUUAUAGUUAUAUAUUAUACACUUCCUACCAAACAAACAGCAGAACUGAUAGAACUUCAUUUCCAUAACUACGAAACAAACAGCGAGAAAGAAGUAGUUUUCACCGAACUCCAGUUCAACCCAAAGUCCACUUCAACCCAAAGUCCAGUUUCGGUGAAACAAACAUGCCCGUAGCGUCUCCACGUUUUCUCAGUAUUUUUUGUUUUGAAUUUUCCAUAAAAUUAUAAAAAUUGACCACGUUUUUCCAAUAUUUUUUUUAUUUUGAAUUUCAUGAUUAUCUUAUCUCGAUAAAAUACCAAAUCUGCAUUUCAUGAUUACACUUCGGGAAGAUAGCAAAUCUUUCCAAAUCAAAUCCAUCUCGGAAAGUUACUAAGUCUAUCCAAAUCUUUUCCAACAAAAUUCUCAUUUCCUUACCUCGGGAAGAGACAAAAUCAUCACCUUGAUUCACGUGUGUAUAUAGAAAGAUGUGUACUCAGAAAAGACAAAAUUCUCACCUUGAUUAGCAUGUAUAUAUAGGAGAACGUGUACUUAUGAUGUUGAAACUUUAAAAAAAUUUUUCAUUUUCUUACCUUGAAAAGGGACAAAAUCCUUACCUUAAUUUGGGUGUGUUAGGUGAACAUGUACUCAUGAGGUCGGAACCUUAAAAAAAUUUUCUAAUUGCCUCUUCCUCCUCCCUCUCUUAUGCACUGAACUUCACCUCACUUUAAACUGAAUUUUACAUUUCUUUUGUAUUUUUUGCUGGAUUUCUGAAAGCUAUUUGGGUUCGUGUUGCACCACCAUGAAAACGUGCCGACGAGGUAGAAGGUUGUCGUUGUAUCGCUAAAAGUGAUUGCCAAAGCCUCGCACGUGGAGGGUAAUCUCGCUUCUAAGAUAGUUUUUUUCGCACUCUCGACUUACAGUUCUCAUUUAAACCUCUUUUCUCUACAAUAUUUUGUACGUAAUCCAUCCUUAUAAUUUUUGAAAACAAAAGUUAAAAUUAUUUUUUUAGAAUUGUCUAAAAAGUAAAUUGUUCAAGCUAAAUAUAUAUUUGCAUAUUAUAUAAUUACAUAUUUUGAUGUCAAUCCAAAUUACUUAUAUAUAAAUUAAAAUAAUUAUAAUCAUUCAAGUUAAAUAUAUAUUUUGUUGUCAUUUCAUUUUAUUUUUUCAUGCCAAAUCAUUAUUGGCUACUAUUUUUUUACCAUUGCACACAUAUGUGCUGAUAUUUUAAUUCAAUUUAUUUAAAUUUAGCCGUUUAUUUUUUAAGAAUAUGAUUGAUUUUUAAACAUUAGUAACAUACUCCACCAGUUAUCAAUUAAGAUUAAUUAUCAGGACAAUGUUGGACAAAAAAUAUGCUAAAUUAAUAAAUACAAAAUUUAAUAGUUUCCAACAAAUUAGAUAGUAGCUAAUUUGGUAAGUAACUAACCUCCUAAAUUAGAAAUUAAAAUUUAACUUGAGUUUAUAGUUUAUAUUUACAAUAGUAUAUAUAAAAUGUCACGCCCCGGGGUCCCUUUGAGUUUAAAAGAUAGCGGAAAAGCGUCUGAAUUUUUUUUUUUUUUUUUUGUUUUUAAACCUGACCCAGAGUAUGCCAGACCGCCACAAAACAUGGGAUUCCAACUGUCACACGGACAGAUCUCCCCUGAUUUGCACGGCGUCGCACAAGUACAACAGUACAACAAGGAUACAACCACAACUAAAUGAAUAUAGAAAUCACUAUACCUUCAUACAUCUACCAUUCACAUCACAAAUUUGCAUUCCAUGUCUAAACAUAAAUUCAUAGAAAAUUUUUGAAAACUGUUCCCUACACAGGAACCUUAUUCUUUAAAACGCUACCGACGAGGGUAAAAACCUUUAUUUACAAAAUCCAGAAAUCCACAUUUUCAAAUGUAAAUAAAUACUGAACAACAUAAACCAAACUAAACUAAUACAUCGACUGAAAUAGAAGGGUAAGAACUAAAACCGAACAACCUGGUCGGAAGCUCUAUCGACCACAUACGAACGUACCUCACGUCUCGUCCAACUACACAUCGCCUGCAUACCUGAAAAAUGGUGGGGAGGUGAGAACAUUAAACAGUCUCCCCUCCAGUGGGUACCGCAAGCCGAAGAACGGCGAGAAGUAACUCACCGAUCCAGAAAGAGAGCUAUACAACAACACGGAGAACUAGAUAGACAUAAGUACUGGUAAGUAAAGAUGCUGAUAAGUAAGGAGCUGACAAGUAUAGAUGCACGGUAAAUAAAACAUAGCUACAAUAACCAGAUAAGCGAUGUACUGAACAAAACACUACAGCUACUGUAUGCAUGCGUCAACUGACGAUAAGUCUCAAUAGUACCCAAUCUCGUACCCUAUGGUCCGAAGACCUCAGGCCCAUGCCACACUGCUCACCUGUACUGACCCUCGAUGAAGCCCCUGGUCGAAGCACAGUACCUGACCCGCAAUGAAGCCUGGGUCAGAAGCAUUACCCUCGCAAUAUAAGCCCUGGGCUCACGGAUUGGCAAUCCAACCACUUUCCGGAAAAGAACACCUCUUGCGGUGGAUCAGACCGCUGUGUGUUCGUGAAAUGCGUAGCCGAGUGCGAUCAAUGUAGUAUGCUCAAAGAUCUCCAUCGGCAACAUAAGCCGACAAAUCCAACCCCUCAGGGCACAACGACCGUAUAGGCAUUAACAACUAUCGGCUACGUAGUCAAGAUAAGACUGUAACAACUCGACCGAAUAGGUCAUCAGAUAUCGAAAUAGGGAACCGCCCAACAAAUCACAGAUAUAGUGAACAGGAUAGAGUCACUCUACUCUAAACAUGAUACUCAACACUGAAACUCGACCGCAUGGGUCAUCAUGUAACCAAAACGACCAACCAGGUCACAAGUAAUAGCGUGAAACUUGACAUUCAGUCACAGUAUAGGAUAUGAACUCGACCAAUCAUGUCACAAGUAUAGGAUAUGAACUCGAACCAAUCAUGUCAGCAAAGUAUAUAAUCUAGAAACUACGUCGGCCACUAGCCGACAAUCCGACCCCUCAGGGUACACCGACCUCACGGUACAUCGGACAACAGAAGUCAAGGUCCGACCAACCAGGUCACUGAUACGAGGUACAAGAAACCACCAACCAGGUCACAAGUGUAGGAGAUGCAACGUCGACCAACCAGGUAAUGGAGAUCACAUAGGAGAUCAGACCAACCAAAUCAUAAAUAUCAUAUACAGAUAAAAGUCUACNNNNNNNNNNNNNNNNNNNNNNNNNAAAAUCAAAAGUGACACUUCAACAUUUAUACGCCUACUGUUUCAUUUUCUCUUGAACAUUUCUUCAGGUCUUAUCACUCUUGAUCUCUAGUACACUUUUUUCAGAAUGAAUCUAUUUAUGUUGUCCUCCAAUCCACUGAAAAGAAGGCUAAAUUAAAAAAUUGCCCGUACAUUAAAAUUUCAUUAAUUUUUACCCACCUUGUCUCGAAUUAAAAUAACUCCAAAUUUUAACACAGUGACCAGAGUUGACAAAGAGUAAGAUAAAAUUUGAUAUAAAUUUUAAUGAAACUAGAUAUUGAGAUAUUACUACGUGCAAAGUAAAUUUUUGUAAUUUACAUUAAAAAUUUACCAAUAUUCUGGUAUGCUAAUAUUAUGCGCAAUUAACUCAAAAUAAUAUUGCAUAUGGCAUAUUAGUAUAUAUAUAUAAAUUUUUUUUUUGAGUAGAUAGGUAGCACGCUGCUUCGUUUAUUUCAUUUAGAAAUAACUUAGUGAAAUGUAAAUCAAAUAGGAUUCAACUUGGGACCUUCAGGUAUCAACCAUCAGCUCUUUGUCAUUACUCUAGGACGACGUCGGUAGCAUAACUAAAAAUUAAGUACAUAUAAGGGUAGUUCUACGGAGCACUAUACAGCACAAAAAAUAAACUUGUAUAAUACAAUCAGCAUAUGGCACCAUGGAAUUGCUAAAAACGGGGGCGGCACGUGGGCGCCUGGCCCGGCACGGCUCGGGUCAGCGCUUACAGCACGGCAUGCAGUACUGUAGCACUCGUGCCGGGCUGCGCCGGCCCAAGCUCUGGGCCGUGCUGGAUCGCUCCUCCUAUGGCCUGACGACCAGACACAGCUCGACCCAAAUGGCCUGAGCCGUGCGCGCGAUGAGAGGCGGGCGGCCUGGCACGAACGACCCGCUUGGGCCGUGCCAGCCGGUGUGAGACCGCACGGCUCGCUUUGGGCCGUGCCAGCCGAGGCUAGCACGGCGCCGGACCCUAAGGGCUAAUGGCCUUAGGGUCUUGCCCUCUUGCUCUCACAAGGUUAGACAUUGGGAGUAGAGGCGCCAUGGCGCCUCUCGCAUUGCGCCCUCACUAGCGGCAUUUGGCGCCGGCCUGCGGAGACCUAUGAUGCCGCCUCUUAUGGCCCCGCCGCCGCACCCGUGGCCUGUCCCCAAUCCAAAGGCCCCACCUCGUGCGGCGUCCCCUCUCCCCAUCCCGACUCCUUCCCCCCGCUCCACCGCCCCCGCCCCCCCCCCUCCCUCCUCGGCGCCCCCUACCUUCUCCUCGGCUCCCUCCUCCGAGAUCCUCUCCUCCCCGAAAACCUCACCUCCCCAAGAAACCCCAGCACCCCCAAAUACGUUGAUUUUUUUUCAAAAAAUAAUAAUACAAAUUUAUUUAAUUUUUUAAAAAAUUAAAUAUUUACUAUAUUAUAAUUAAUUUUAUAAAAUUUUAAUAAUUUAAUCAAAUUUAAACUAAGUUUUUUUAAAAAAUUUUUAAAAAUAAAUAUUAUAAAAGGCCGGCCAGAAGCACGACCUGGCCCGGCACUGUCUGUGCCUUCUGGGCCAAAGGUUGGGCCAAAGGCUAGGCAGCGUAGUUGUAGUAGCCCUGGAAUUCAGCAUUUGAGGCUUGUCGACAGCUCUGAAGAGUGUCGGGACAAGUCCGAGUUCUGUUGGUGCGAAAUAGACGCAAACUGGACUCAGCGGGACGCGAGAGUAGAGAGUUAGCAUUGCAAUCUGCAAAUUGCAGAUUUUCAGCAAUUAGUACCGGUACCACACAGGGGCGUAUCGGUACCCAGUGCAUUUUCUGCGCAGACUGCUCUCGGGUUAGCCAUUCUGUUGCGUGGUACCGGUAUGACAUUGCGAUGGUACCGGUACACCAGGGUAGGUAAGGGGCCUUUUGGUCUUUUCUUGCCUCGUUUGUAUCACCUUAUCCCUAUUACUCUAUAUAGGUUAGAGAGAAGUUGAGGAGGAGGCUUUGCUGUGCUCUCUCUCUCUCUUCCUCUUGUGCUCGGCCGUAUGCAAGGAGGGGCUCGGGUGGAGUUGGAUCGUCGCCGACGUCGCGCUGCGGUGCCGUUCGAGCGUGCGUUCGUCGUGGUAGCGCCGUAGGGAGGCCGGGCGAGCGCGUGGUUCCGCUUCUAUCGAUUUCUCGCCGUGGUUGCACGCGCUUUCGAGGUGGGUUAAAGUGAUGCUUACCGAAUUCUACGGGUUUCCUCCUAAUUCUAUAUGUGUCAUCAGCAUGUGUUUUUAGCUUUGUUUAGUAUAUUGUUUAGCUCGAUUCUUGGAAUUUCAUGCCUAUGAAUUUGAAUUGGAGCUUAGAAAAUUAGCUAAAUCAUGCAUGUUGGACUUGGAUUUAAUUUAGGAGAAAACUGACGUUUCUACACCGCCAUUUGAACAAACUACCAGAUUUAGCUCUAGGAGCCGUAGUUUGAUUGUAUCGCCGAGGGUUAUAGGCGGUGGAUGCCCAGAAUAGUGUAGAAUAAUUUUAAGCUCGUACUGGGAUACCGAGCUUAUUUUUACAAUAUUGUUCAGACUGUUCCAGAUUGUCGGGUGCCGUUGGGGUUGACGGUGGACCCAUAUUACGGUUUUGCAUCAGAUUGUGCCGAGGGCACGUGUGUUUUGGUUGUUAGACCAGUUAGACUCUAUUUACUUGACUAUAAUCUGCGAGAGCCUGAUUGAGCUCGACAGAGACACGAUUGCAUACUCGGUUGGGUAGCGCCCACGAGUGCCACUCCGAUGACGGCCUGGUUUGGUGUAAGAUAGUGUAGCUUCGACAGGCGGGACGGGUGUGUUCACAGUCUCUAGUGAGAUUGGGUCAGGUUGUACUUUUCUACAGAUAGUGGGUGUUUGAUCCAGAUAGUAUAGGUGCAUACAGCUGUAGAUUUAUUCCAGCCUUCUUAGUAUACUUGUUUACAUCUGUAGAAUUAGUGGGUGAGCCGUUGAGGUCGGUAGCGGUACCCACUGAGGACUACUUCUUUUGUAGUAGUUCUCACGCCCAGUUGUUGGAAUCUUUUACAGAGCCUUCUUUUUCGGCUGCUGCUGCUGAUUCGGACCAUGAAAAGGGAGUCGCGAGUUAGAUCCCUUCCCAGUUGCUGCUGAGCUAGAGUAUACCAGCUAUAGGUAAUGGUAGUUUUUGAGUUCAUAUAUAUACUUUUGUUGUAUCUAGCUGGAGUGAGUGUUUUGUUCAUCGGGUUGUGAUGUAUGUAUAGUGAACUUCUGUUUAUAUAUCUCAUUUCUUUUAGUAGCUUUAUACUAUUUGUUGUAGUAUUGUAUGAUUAUAGGUACAGCUAUCGCUUCGUGUACAGUAGAAAUUUCUUGGCAUACGGCGGAUUUGUCGGCGUGCCCGGAGAAACAAGUAAUCCGGAGCGUGACAGCAGCUUGGGCCCGACACGGUACGGCCCGAAAUUGAAACCUGGCCGAGCCGGCCACUAGCUCAUUUCAGCCCGAAAAAUGUGGGCUGUGCCGGCCCGGCACGGCCCACAUUACAGCCCCUAGGCACCCAUAAUUAAGAAUAUUACCAACAUUAUUUAAACUAGAAUCAGCCAAAAAGUUAGUAUAAUUCUUAUAAUACCUUAUCAAGAUUGUCAAAUUAGACUUUACCAAUCCAGUUUUGAUUUUUAGUAAAAUAAAGAAACAAAAGUGAUAAGACUGUGACACCCCAAUAACUACAUAUCAGAUGAGAACGAGAUUAUAAUUGAAUAUGUACGAAACUAUGGACUCUAAUAAUAAUAAGUAGGUUUAAAUUGGUGGUUUGAACGAAACGACUUAUUAUUGUUAGUGGAUCCGGUUCUACCAAAGAGAACAUGAAUUUUCGAUUAAAGAUACUGUAAAAUUAUAACAUAUUUUCAGUACUAGACUUAGNUAAAUACUGUGGAAUUGUAUGAUAUGUAUCCAAACAGCAUAAAAAUUCCGUGAAGUUUUUUAACUAUCCAUCCAAACAGGGCCUUAGUAAUACUGAAAAAAAAAAAAAAAAGAAAAAUCAACAGUAUUAUUUUACUAUUCUAUCAACAUUCUCUCCCUGUGAAUGCCACUGCCCAUUUUACCCUCCUAAAGAUCCAUUUAUACCCUCUCCAGACACCAUCUAACACCUCUCUCUCUCUCCAACACCAUGUAUGGAGCACAACCGGGCUACUACGGCCCACCCAUCCCUCCCCAACCCCUCGCAACCCAACCCUCCUAUGCUGCUGAACGCCGCCGCCGGUGCUUCUGCAGCACAGGAACAGCCGUCGCCGCCUUCCUCGCCAUAUUCGGCAUCGCUGUCAUCGCCCUCUGGCUCGUCUUCCGCCCGCAGAAGAUCGUCGUUGCUGUCACAGACGCCGUGCUCUACCGCUUUGACCUCGCCACCACCACGAAACCUCCGAGCCUCGCCUUCAACCUUUCCGCCACCGUCAGCGUCCGCAACCCUAACAAGCGGGUCGGCAUCGUCUACGACUGGCUUGAGGCCGACUCCUAUUACUACGGCACGCGCUUGGGCUGGGUCUCCCUGCCCGCUUUGUACCAGGUGCCUGGUUAAAUAUAAAUAUUAAAAAUAUUAUUCUCUCAUAACUUAAACUUACAAAGACACUGAUUUUUUUAUAUAAUUUAGUAUAGCAUUAAAGCAUGAAGUAAUAGCUUCGAGUUCUACAAAAAUUUGAAAUUAUUAAAAUUUUUUAUUUAAUAUAAGUCUGUAAGUUAUGUCUACCCAUAAAUCUCGAAUCCAAAUAUAGAAAGUGUUGAAUAUAAAUAUUAAAAAUAUAUAUCACUCUCUCGUGUGUUUAAGCUUAUUAUAUAUAAUAAUUAUUUUCUAUAACAAAACUAUUUUUACGGUAGGGUUUUAAGUAUGAUAAAAGAUAUAAUUAGAACUAAUUAAAUUAUUAAAAUUCUUGUAGCUAGUCUCAUAAGGGCGUGGAAUAUUGAAUAAGAGAUUAAUUAAAACUGUUUGCGUCUUACUAUAUAUGUUAAAUAGGUUAAUAAAUGUUUAUAUAUAUCUUACUAUAUUUACCUUGUCAUUCUCACUUUUUAACAUUCAAUGAGUUAAAUGCUUAACUUUCUACUUGGUUUCAUAAGAUAGAUUUAUAUACUUUUUAUCCAACAAUUUUAUUUUAUCUUUUUAUUAUUGUGACGUUCUUAUUUUUAUUUUAUUUUUCUUUCUGAGCAAUGUUAGCUUUACAAAUCCAUAAUUAUAAUAAACGUUUUAUUUUCCACAACACCAGGGCCACCGGAGCACGUCGGCGUGGAGGCCUGCGGUAGCGGGGAGUUCGUACGUAGAUAUCGGGAGCUCAGGCAUAGCGGAUUUUAAGAACCAGAACACCACGGGGAGCUUCGGCGUCGGGUUGUGGCUCUUUGGUCGCGUUCGAUAUCGGUUCGGUUCGGCGACAACCAAGCAGUACGUCCUGCGGGUGCAGUGCGUGCUGAAGCUGCGGCUGCUGGCUCCCGGAGCAGCCAAUAACGGCUUCGUCAGGACACCCUGCAAGGUGCUCAAAUGGUGAUUGAAUUUUUAAUUCAUUUUGCACUAUAUACUGGCUUUUGAAUUCUUAUUUUUACAAAACAGUUAAAAUAUAUUUAUAACAUAUAAUUACUUUGAACCAACUAUACAAUUCCUAACUUGAGAAGAACUGUCCACGAUGCAUAUAUAAUUGUAAGAAGCUAGGCGUGCAAGAAAUUUUUUUUUUUUUUCCUCUAGCAAUAAAUACUGAAAAAAAAUUAAAAUGAAACAGUUUUCAAAAGUGGGCAUGUAACAUAUUCUACUUAAAAGUAUUAAUUAAGGACCAAUGUAAUUACACGUGGGUAAAAGUUUAGAAGCUGGUGGUGCAAUUUCUUUUUUUAUUUUUCUCCUCCCUUCAUAUGAGUUCGUUGACCUGCUCUGUGUCGUUGGUUGCAAUAUAUAGAUGUUUUCUCAACUUCUUUUAUUUUUAUCUCCCAAUUGUUUUAUUCUUAUUUUUUUCUAUAGUGUUUGCAAUUAUAAUAAUUGUAGUUAUAUUGCAUACAUAAUGAAAAAUAUUGUAACGUGGUGUGAACUGUCUAUGAUGGCUUCUUCGUGAAUAAGGAGUUGGAAACAUUCGAAGCGUUGACUUUGAGGGGAUAUAUAUAUUCUAUGUUAGUUGACUUUAGAUGAUGUAUUUGCGAUUUAAAUGCGUCGCCGAAAAUUAAUGUUAGCCGUCCCAAUCGAAACUCCAUCAGUUCGAGUUUGUGGCCACCAUGUCUUUGUAAGAGUUAAAUUUAAUUUAAAUUUAAAACUUACCACAAUAAAAAGAGAUUAGUGAACAAAAUAAGACUAGAACAUGAUAAGUAGUAUGCAUAUGUGCAGUACAAGAUAAACGAUCUACCGCAUCUCACCUUAUAGGCCACUCUGACGGAUUUUCAAUCUAGCUAAUCUGGUAUGUGAAAUCAAAAUCUUGGAACAUGUUCUAAGUAAUUAGAAAACUAUCUCCAAGAAUAUAUUAAUAUUUAAAUUAAUCGACUUAAACAACCGAUAAUGAUGUUACAUACUUUUUACUAAUAUAUUGAUAAUUUUGUUUCUUAAACAUACGAUCAUGUAAGUGAAACAAUGAAAAAAAAAGAAAAGAAGAGAAAGGCUGAUAGUGCAGGCAUCACUGACGUAGACCGUCAAACCUUAAAUAUGCUGAAAACUAUACCUCCCACCUUUAAAUAUCACAUGUCAUACGGAAAUAACUUAUCAUAAUAUACACUGUUAUACCAGCGUAUGUUAUUUGUUUUGACUAAUACUAUGUGGGUUGUGCAUCACUGAUGAUGCAUGUAUCUAGCUAUUGUGGUGUAAACCAAUCAUACGAGCCAAUGUGCUUGAGUGUUUUCUAGCAUAACAAUCUAAGUACAUGAUGUGUGCUAACCUCUCGGCAACUUACCUGUUACCUGGCCAGCCAUUCAGACUACGGAUCUUAAUAUUAGGUUUAGCUCUAUCUCAAUGGCAAUUUUAGGUCAAUUCAUAUCCUACUAAGUUUGGUGCACAUCAACUUGCAAGUAAAAAUGCAAACAAGGUGGAUCUGCAAGUAAGAGGGUCCUCCCUACCUCCCACCUUGUUUUUCUUUGGCAGGUUGUGGCAAAUUCGAGGCGAGUUGAAUUAGAUCAUUUUUUUUUCCUACUUAAUGCUAAGUUCGGGGCCCGUUGGGCUGGAAGCGUGUUUUUAACGAAUUUUUGGCGGAUUGCAAAAGAUCAAAGAAAGGAGGUCCCCAACCUCCCGUCUAUUUCUUAGCGGAGCAAGACGGAUUUGGGGCGGGCUUUUUUUUUCUAAAUUAUUUUUUGUUAUUUUUGCCUCCUACUUACCACUCCAUUCGUGGCCGGAUCUCCACCAACCGGGAUCCAUGUUCAUCCUUACUCGCAACUGUUGAGUUAAAUACCUACUCCACAUAUUAUGAUAACUAUUAAGAUCGCCAAUAAAUACUAAUUAAAUUGAUUCUCCUAAUCCAUAUGAUUAUGUACAGCUCAUGUAUAUCAAUGCCUUGAGUCCUCUGGUCAGCACACAACACCUUGGGCCCCUACUCUUAGGGGUGGAACUGGGUCAGGCUUGGGCCAGAUCAUACUCUGCCCAAGUCCGACCCGAAAAAAAUACCGGGCUUCGGGUCGGGCUUUACUCAAUUUUUUUUUAAAAAAUAAGGCCUUGCUCGGGCCUAAGCCGAAUACCCAAUACCCAUCGGGCCUAGAGGCCCACUUUAUGUAUUUGUUAUAUAGUACAAAUAUAUUUUUAUUAUAAAAAAAAUAAAAUAAAAUAUUCUCAGCUAUUAGGUAUUCGGCUCAAUGCUAUUGGUGCUAUUAGGUUUUCGGCCAUUGGAUAAAAAAAUGUACGGUUAAAAUGAUAUGCACCUUCUAGGGUUGAGUUGGUUAUGGGUUUAAUAAUAUAAUCUAACGAGCGAAAAUAGUCAAUGAGUUUAAUCUAACAGCGGAAAACUUAAUAGCACUAAACGCUUGGUGCUAUCGAUAGUAUCCCAGCCAGACACACACACACUCACUCUCUCUCUCUCUCUCUCUCUCUCUCUCUCUCUCUCUCUCUUAAUGCAUAGAUAUAUAUAACUAAAUAUUUUAUUUUAAUAACUAAUAUAUCGGACUUUUAGAUUGGGCUCGGGCUGGGCUUGGGCAUGUUCAGAUAGGUCCAAAAUUUUUUCAAACUUAAAUUUUUAAGCCCGGCUCAGACCCAAAGUUAUAAUUUUGAUACCGAAAGCAUGACCAUACAUGGCCCAUCGGGCCGGGCCUUUUUUAGAUCCGGGCGCAGUUCCACCCCUAUCUACGUGGUCCAUACAAAUUCCUCAGGUUUGGUCCGCAUAAUAAAUCAAUCAUGUAAGGAGAAUCGAAACCACUGUUUUGUACGACGGAAUACACAAACUCAUCGUGUCCAUGACUGAGACUCACUUUUGUUAGUUAGACCAUCCAACUAUCAAAUCAAUUCACGCAUGCCAAACCGUAUCUUGUAAAUGUCUAAAUUUUUCAGAUCAUGCAUGCCCGACAUAACCUGCUGCAGCUGUUCCAGACAAACCAACUCACAGAUGAUCAAUCCAUAUGUAAUGCCCAAUCAUGCAGAUCGAAUAAGCCAAUCAUUGGCUUGAUUGGUCCAGCUGAUUUUCCACAAAACCAAAUUAAGCACCUACUGCUGAUGGUCCAACAGGCUCAAUUCAACGAGUUUUGGAAGAACAGAAUCUGAGCCAUCAACACUCACCGUAUCAAAGGGAUUGUUCAUACUCUCAGAGAUAGCUGUUGCGCUAUCUAGCUACUACGCUAGCACUAAUUCACGGCAAUUUUUUUUUUUUUUUUUUUUUCCUAAGAGAAGGACAACGUACUAUUCGUUUUAUCACUACAAAAAAAAUGAUCUAUAGCAACACUUUUAAAUAUCAGUACAGGUCAAAAAAAUACUUUUAAAAGAUAUUGCUAUAUGUGGGAUCGUUAGAUAUAUAGUGACAGUUAAAGAGUAUCGCUAUAAUCUAAAAAGAGUGCUGUUAAUUUACUAAUACUUAUUUAAGCAUUUAGCAACCGCCGGAACUCUACCUCGUUGGCUGUCGUGGCGGAGGAGGACGAGAGGGAAGUGCUCUUCGUCUAGAAUUUCAAUAGAUUGAGUGAGAGGAGAAGGGGAGAUAGUAAUUGAUUUUUUUCUUUUUUUCUUUUUUGUUUGUAAUUGGGCUGAAUGGGCUGAGUGGGGUGGGUUGAGUAGAAUAAUCUUUUAUUUUUGAUUAGAUUGAACUUUAUAUUUAGGCAUUAAUAGAUUUUUUAAAAAGUUUUGACAUAAAUGGGAUACUUACACAAAAGUGUCCCAAACAUGUGUCCCUAUUAUCUAAUUCUGUUAUAGUGUAUUUAUUUAUUUCUUGAAACAAACUUAAUUGAAAAUAUAAGACAAUUGGCCUUCGAACUUAAAAUCUCACAUACCAAGUAUUAAUUCUUUGUCACCUGAACAUUUUCUUUCAAUGUGGGCCUCUGGCCUAGAAACAGAAAAAGGCCUCUGCUGAGGACUUGAUAAAAACUGCACUCCACCGUCAAGUUUACAAGCCUCUUUCGCCCAUUUAGAAUUUUGCCCAACACACCGCAAAAAAAAGAAAAAAAAAAAGAAGAUAUUUUAAAAUCAACAAUAUAUUUUCAUCAAAUUUUUUUUAGCCAAUUUUCCACUAGACGAGAACACAGUAGUUUCAAAUUAUAUAUAACCUAUUUCUUUGGAAUCCAGAAGUUCAUUUUCAUUUUCUCUCGAAGUUCAAGCUACAACUUAAUUUGACAAACUUGAUAGAGUUUCAACACUAGCUAGCCACCAUAUUCCUGAUUGGGUCGGAUUAUUACUCCCAAUCGACACAAUAGAAACUAGGAGGAAAUAGAUUUGUAAUAUAUACUAACAUUUACCCAUUUUUAAAACAGGAAGAGGUGAAAGAGAGCAUCUUACUCAUCUUCAAAAAUUUUCAUCAAAUUUGAAAGGACAAAAAAAGUUAGAAUAUAUAAAUGUAGUUGGCACAUCGACCGUUUCUAGUGCAAUUGGGCAAAGGGUGUGAUGGCCGGUACCCGAGAUCUCAUGUUCAAAUCCUAGUUGAUUUACAUUUCUAGUUAAGUUUAUUUUUAAAUAAAAUAAACGGAAUGUGUAGCAAAUAAAUGUAGUUGGCACAGGGUACAUUUAAUAAUGUUAAUUGAGAAUGUCUAAUUGGCUUACUUGCUUAAUAUUUUGCUUUGGGUUGGAUUAAUUAGUUUGGUUUGGUUUGGGUUCGAGUUAGAUUUGGACUCCGUUUUGGUUCAACUUUACAUCAACCUUAAUCGAAUCUAAUUUGGUUGAAAUUUGUCAAUCCUAAUGUAAGACAAGUUAUAAUUUGAUCGGGUUUGGAUCAGAAUUGUUGGCAUCGAAUGCAAUAUUCUAAUUAAGUUGAAUUUGUAGUCACCAAUAUUUUAAUAACCAAGUCAUUGAACGUUCCUAGAGCAAGCGGUAAAGGGCUUGAUAGUUGGUACCCGAGGUCCCAAGUUCAAAUCCUACUUAAUUCAUAUUUCCAGCUAAGUUUAUUUCUCAAAAAAAAUAUUUUAAAAACAGCAUAACGUUAUACAUAUUUAAUUAUUAUUUUUAAUUUUAUUAUUUAUAUAAUUAUACAUACAUAUAUUAUUAUUCUAGUAUCAUAUUUCUUUAUAAAAUAUCGAUUUCUAAAUCAAGUUUUCAAAUUUCACUUUCAACGGACUAUAACAUGUGCUAAUAGAUUGAAAUCAACUAGGUUGACUUUAAACCGUUGGAUUUUAAUAGGACUUGAUAAAAAAAAAAAAUCACCCAAAUUUACUUAAAAUUGAACCGACUCACUAGUUCGAUGGUUGAACCGCUGGUUCUAACAAUUCAAAAUAAUUUUUUGUCUAUUUAGUUCAAAAGUUUGAGUCAUAUCACUUUAUAGACUGAGUCAUGGUCGGACCGGUCAAACCGACCCGUUCGAUUCGAUUUUUAAAAAGAUGUAACGACCUGUCCCACUAGCAAUAACAACUCGUUGAGCUUAAACACCAGCUCAAAAUGUUUAAAUUUAGUUAUUAUUACUAGUGGAUGUGGGAUUAUUGGUAUAGUUGGUCAUCUUGUCAUUCAGACUCCGGUAUCGUUUAUCACUUUUUUUUUUCAGAUCUUGACUCAACCGAAACUCGCCAUACAUUUUCGGCUGGUGAACCGGCUAAACAACCCGGCCUGCUAGCAAUAAUAACAAGUUGGGUCCAAACACGGACCCAAAAUAGUUAAGUCCAGUUAUUAUUGUUAGUGUUUAAGUCUCUUAUAUAUCUAAUCACAUUUUUAUUCCUAUCCGACGUGGGAUUAUUGGAGUAUGACAAAAAAUUUACAAGUUGAUUUUGCAACAUGAUGCACAAGCUGAGCCUCUCUGUGAGGGAUGAUUAAAUUCGCAUAAAUGAAGAGUGUGACACGUACAAUAUUGGAUAUGCAAGGGGAUCACAUUUUAUCAAUACAUUUAAUAGCAAGAUUCGGUGCCAACAUUUGAGGGACAAAUGUUCAGUUGAUCUUUAAUUUGACAUAUGUACAAACAAUCUUCAAUUUGUAUCCCAUUUAACAGUAAACACCAUAGUUGUAAAUUUUAUAUACUACGGUUUCCUGAAUUUCUUAGCACUUAUUAUUUGUCCAUCCCUUCGGGUGGCAAUCCAGCUCGCUGUUCGCGAGCCAGCUCGUGUUCCUGCGAAAUGAGCUGCGACAUCGCUCGCCGUAUUAGUAACGAGCCAACACGAGCUGAAUUUUUCAAGCUUCGUUUAUACACUCGACCGAUACCUGAGCUGGGUCAGUCGCUCGUGUUCGCUCGUACAGCUUGGAUACAUAUAUUUUAUAUUAUAUAAUUUAUUUAUUUUAUUUUUAUACUUAAAUAAAUAAUUAUAUAUAAUAUAUAUUUGUAUUAAUUUAAUUUUAGUAAAAAUAAAAAUAUAAAUGCGGUUUAAUUAUUAAAAGACUCAUUUAUAUGUUAAAGUUUUAAACUAUUAGAUCAAAGUCUAAGUGAUAAAAUUUAUAAAUUUAUUUUUAUAUAUAAUUAUCUAAUUUUUUUUAAAUUAUUAUUCGUUCGGCGAAAAUUAGUCGUGUUCGGACUCGUUAAAAUAAGCCGAAACGAGCUGAAUUUUUCGGCUUGAUAUUUUAACGAGCCAGCUCGUGUUAAACGAGCCGAACACGAGCCGACGCCAGCUCACUUGUGUUCGGCUCGUUUACACCCCUAUCCAUCCCUCGCGCAUCGUGUACUCUAAACAAUAUUUCUGUACGUACUGGAUUCAAUAGAAUAUUAAUUUACGUGAAUAGUACUUGUAUCAUUCAAACUAGAGAAGAUACCGCGUGUGGGGGGUCGAUUCGGUAAAAUCUAAUAACAUUAAAAUAAUAAAAAAAUAGUAGCUGUUAUAGUAAAAAUACAAUAAUAAAAAUAUAAGAAGAAUAAACAAGAUGUGAAACAACCGUUGUACUUGAGCUUAUAUAUAGCUAUAUAUAUAUAGUUAUAAAUAUAACAAUAAAGCUAUAUAUAUAUAGAGUCCGGCUACCAUACUAUUAUGAGUACGAUCGCCCUCGUACUCAUAAGUUGUUUUCGAUGAUAGAGUUUCCGAAUCGACGAUCCACACCGUUAAACGUUAUCUGGAGUAUUUGAAACAUUUAGAAAUCAAAUUUCAUAAUUUUUCGACAUCAUUUACCUUAUGAUCAGAAGCUCACAAAAUUGACAAUUUUUAACGGCUGGUAUGGAAUAUUUGCUAGUUUAACGGUGCAAAAGAAUCCGAAUAGGUUGAAUUUUUGAUAGAAAAUUCUAUUCACUACCUAGAUAAAGAUUAAUAACUCUGAUCUUAAAUUGAAGGAUCCGAUCAUCCAUUUUUAAAACAUCGUUCGAUUUUGACCGUUCAUUUUAUGCUCGCUUGAUGGACUUUAUUAUGAUUUCGAAAAAUUACAAAAUUUAUUUUCUAGAAGUUUCAAAUACUCUAGAUCGUAUUUAACAGAGUGGAUCAUCGAUUCGGAAGCUCUAUCAUCGAAAACAACUUAUAAGUACGAAGGGUCAAAUACUCAUAAUAGUAUAGUAACCCUACUAUAUAUAUAUAUAUAGAGUCCGUCUCCCGUACUUUCGAAAGUACGGGAGGCUCCGUGCUUGUAAGUUGUUUUCGAUGAUAGGACGUUUGAUUCGACGAUCGGCUCCGUUAGGUAUGAUCUACCCUAUUGGAACUAUCUAGAAACCAAAUUUUAGAUUUUUUUGACAUCAUUUACUAAGCGAUCAAAAGGUCUAAAAAAUGGCUAUUUUAACGGUCGAUGUGGCACAUUUUUAAGUUCAACGGUGUAGAAGUAUCCAAAUUACAUAAAAAUUUAAUAGAAAAUUCUACUUAACAUCAGUAGCAAGAUCAAUACUUCCGAUUUAAAAUUUGAAUCAUUUAUNNNNNNNNNNNNNNNNNNNNNNNNNGAAUCGACGAUCGGCUCCGUUAGAGUUGAUCUAGUGUAUUUGAAAUACCUAAAAAAUAAAUUUUGCGAUUUUUUGAUAUCAUUUGCCUAGUGAUCGAAGGGGCUCAAAAUCAAUAAUUUUAAUGGCCGUGGUGAGCCGGUUGCAAGUUUAACGGUGUAGAAAUAUCCAAAUCGUAUGAAAUUUUGAUAGAAAAUUCUUUAUACCACAUAAAACAAGAUCAAUAACUUUGAUCUAAAAUUUUAAUGUCAUAUCAUCAUAUUUUGUAAGAUUUUUAUUUUCAGCCGUUGAUUUUGAGCCACUUCGAUCACUAGACAAAUGAUAUCGAAAAAUGCAAAAUUUACUUUCUAGAUACUUCAAAUACUCUAUAUCAAGUCUAACGGAGCUGAUCAUCGAUUCAAAAGUCCGAACAUCGAAAACAAAGUGGAAGCACGGAAGCAUACCAACACAACUCUAUAUAUUGAGUGCGGCUAGGAUGCUUAUAGUAUAUAUAUAUAUAUAUAUAUAUAUAUAUAUAUAUAUAUGUGUGUGUGUGUGUGUGUGAUAGCUUGGUCAAAAUAACACACUGAUAUAUAAGAGUAUAGAUAUAAUAAUUAAAGGCAUAAUAUUACAAUCAGAAAAUAAAUUCCAUCUAUCCUUAUUUGACCACAAAGAUAAAAUAAAUAAAUUUAGGAUAAAUUAAUAUUGUCUAGGAGAUUAAAUACUUACGUGAACAGAUUUUUUAUGUUCACAAUACUUUUGUAAGUAUAAUGAUCUUUGAUGGAUCGAAUUGAGAUGAAUAAAGAAGAUUAAAUGGGUAAAGAGCAUGUGGUUAAAAUGGAACACCUACUAAAACUAAUUUGCCAAAAAAAACAUGAUUAUAAAUUAAUAAAGCUUUGAGUUCGCAAUGGAACACCUACUAAAGCUAAUUUGCAAAAAAAAAACAUGAUUAUAAAUUAAUAAAGCUUUGAGUUCGGCAAAGGAAUGAAAAUAAACAUAGAUAUGAUGAUUUUUUUUUUUUCUCGGGAUUAAGAUAGGUAGCAUGCUAUCCUUUUCGUUCAUUUCAUUUAGAAAUAAAAUUAGCGAGAAAUAAAAUAGUUCGAAUCAAGUAGGAUUUGAACUUGAAUCCUUGAGUACCAAACACUAAGCCCUUUACCACUUGAAUUUGAGACGGUCAGUUAAAUAUGAUGAUUAUUCUAUUCAAAUUAGAACGACUCAGCCUUCUCCUGAAUAAUUGUUCCACUCAACGAAAUUGUUGAAGACCGGAUUCAUAAAAAAAAAGAAAGUACAGUUAACAGGUGAGAAAAAGGUAGAUGCAAAUAAUGGCGCUGAAUAUUCUCGUGCACGUAGCGGUUAGAAUCAAUUUAUGUACAUAGACGAGCACAGUUGACAUAUACCGCCUUUGUUACCUUAUUAAUCCAAUCUCUGAAGGAUUAUUGAUGACCAUACAUGGUCAGAACACUGCUGCUACACGGUCAGAACACUGCCACAGGUUCAUCAUACCAAACGUAAGCACGUGUCAUGUGAUCGAAGAAGGCUACUCUAACUUAAUUAGGAGGCCCAUGAAUUAAGAUGAGGUUCAUACCAAACGUUAAGACCCUACAUGUACGGAGGUAGAGUCGGGCCUAGGCAUGGCACCGGUACUAUAGAACCCGGGUAGGCCAGCCUGACCCGGCAUCAUGAGCCAUGCUGAACCACUUCAACUGAGCGCGUUGCUCCGACACGGCACGGCCUGUUACAGUCUUGGGCCAUGCCUUUCAUGCCAGUACGGCCCGGCUUUAGGACUUGGGGAACCAAGGCGCGCCCUACGGCCCUUGGAGAGUUGGGGAGCCAUCUCCUCCAACUCUCCAAGUUGGAUCUUGGGACUUGGGGCUCCCAAGGGUGAGAAAGAGAAGGGCUUAGGGCCCUAGGCCCUUUUUGGUAGAUAGGUCCAUCUCACAAACGUUUCCGAAUCUUUUCUAAAAAUUUUAAAACUUUGUAAAAUUUUAAAAUUAUUUUAAAAAUCUAUUACUUUAGAAAUUUUUUAAUAAAUUUGAUUUCUUUGGCUAACAUAAUAGGAAGAGAAAAUUAUUUUAAUUUUUUAUUUUUUAAAUAUUUUAUAUUUUUUAAAAUUUUAAAAAUUAAAGGGCCUACACAGAGACCAGCCCGGCCCAUUACGGUUCGUGCCAUUUGGGCCGAAAGGCCGUGCAGGCAGGGCGGUUAUAAAAUCUGGUCGGUCCUGUACGGUCCGGCCCAAAAUUUUAACAGGGCUUGGCUAGGCCGAACCCUGGCCCAGUUCGGCCUAGGUGUCCCUACCUACGUGCACAUGUUAUGAGGUCAUGUGACCUUAAUUAGGAUUCAAAAUUGUAGAAGAUAUUUUAUAUUAUUCAAAGCCAAAAUUAAUUUAUCAUCUACGACCCUUAUGCCAAUUGAAAGAUCUAUAUCACCAACAAUAAUAAAUACAUAUUAAUAUCCAUAAUCGUAAAUAGAGUCGGAAAUAACGUUUAGAGUGUUAUAGGAAAAAACUUUUGAUCAAUAUGCAGACACGAAAAAUUCGACUUAGGGGUUGAAUAUCACUAACCAUAUGUCUUUUAUAUAAAGUUCAAAUUGACUUCGUACCAAAAUCUGAUUAGUAUUCUAUUUAAUUUAAAAGAUAGAUAGAAAAUAAAUAAAAUAUACCAUAUCAAGCAGUUUUAUAUAUGUUAGAAUUGAUCUUUAUUUAUAAUAAAUCAAAAACUAAAUAUGAUUAAUUAUGUCAGAUUUAUGAAAUUUUAAUAUUUGAGAAUAAAUUAUACCAUUAAAAAAAAAUUAUACUGUUUGAGACUAAAUUAUACUAUUUGAUACUUAAAUUGACUAUUUAAUAAGUUGCAACUUAGUCUUAAAUAAUUUAAGGUGGUGCAACUUAAGUCUCAAACAAUACAACUUCAUCCCAAAGUAGUGCAACGUACAUCCAUUUUACAUGGUGAAAUUUAAUCUUAAAUAGAUUUAAACGGUGUAGCUUAACCUCGAACAAUGCAACUGUUGGAAAAACUUUCUGAUCUUUUAUUAUAAUAUUCUUUAAAACCAAUUCAAAAUUUAAUUACAGGUUUAGAAAAAUUCCGAAACGAAAUUAAAUAACAAAUACGGUAAAGAAAAUGUUUAGAUAAGGCCUGUGGAUUGAGGUAUGCAGAGCACUGUCCUAGAAGCGAAAUUGCCCCUCCACAUGCAAGGCUUCCCGGCAAUUACUCCUAGCGAUACAACGACCACGUUCCACCUCGUUGGCACGCUUCCAAGGUGGCGUAAGACGAACCCAACUAGCUUCAGAUCCAGCAAAAGAAAACUCGGCGAAAAAUCAGAAAGUAGAAAAAGGCGAGAGGCUUUAGGUAUGCUCGGGUUAUUAAUUAACUCGUGUAGCCUCGCCCUAUAUUUAUAACCUAGGCGAGAAUCUUGCUUCAAUACGUCAAAUCCGUGUAUAACAAAAUAAGCCUAAGAUUACACGGAUAAAGAUAAGGAUUAGGAUUAGUAAAAAGAUAAGUAUUAAAAUAAAGAUAAAACCGACAAAAUAAAAUAAACCGGGUAAAUGGAUCGCGCGCGCCGGCUGCGGCCCGGUCCGGCUCGGCUCAUGCCGUGCAUGUAUUUAAACGAGAGCAUUGCUCUCAUUUUCUUCCAAAUAGCUAGGUUGAGAAUAAAGCAAUAUAUAAAAACAACAAACACCCUUUCGGUUUACAAUGUGGGACUAAACAUCACAUAUGGAUAUUUUAGUUGGGCUCCCCAAGCAGCUCAUUAACAAUUACUGGGCUCUCAAGAGGUUUUAAUAAGUUUUCAAUCAUAACAAAUCCAAUAAAAUCCAAUAGCAAUUAUGUCUUAAACGAUGCAACUUUUUUUUCUUUUUUCUUCUCUAUUUCUUAGCCUUUUCUACCGUGACCACAAUAUAUAAGCCCUCCAAGAAGAAGAAAAAUAUAUUUUUCCAUUAUUUUUUCUUUUAUUUCUUUUUUCUUCCUUUUCUUUUCUUCAUUUUUUUUCUUCAUUUUCCUCACUUUCUGCAUUCUUUUUUGUUAUCAUGUCUUCUCCCUCGCUGUCUGCCGCAGUAGCCACCCCUGCCUUUUACGCACUUUUCCUCUCCGCCCUCCUCAAAGCAUGCAUGUGCCACCCUCGUUGCCGUCACCAUCCAUGAUCACGCCGUCCACCACAAUCUCACCUCUCUGAUUGUGUCAUAUCCAAGCCCCCGCCUUAAUCUGGUGAAAAUUUAUUAGCAGUCAUAGUUUUUGGUUUUGUUGAUAUCGCCGCCUGAGUCGAUGGAGGUAUGGGCAAGAUAGGCGAGAGGAGUAUGGUCUUGACGUGAAGACAAUAGAGAAGGAGAGAAAAGAGGCGAGAGGAGAAAGAAAGGAAAGGAGAAGAUGAGGAGGAAGACGAAGAGAGAGGAGAAAAACGAAAAGAGAGAAACGAGAGAAAACGAGGAAUAAGAGUAUUUUGAUUAGUUUAUUAAAAAUUCAGAUCGUAUAUGCAAAAUUCAAAAAAAAAAGAUGUAUUUUUACAAAAAUGCAAAACGGGUAAAAUUUUUAUGCAUAUUGGCCAAAUAAUUUUAUGGAUAACUUCUUAGUAUCCCAUAAUUUCAUUAAUAUCUUUUCGGAGUUAAUAAUAUGAUAUAUGCUCUUGAAGAUAUAAAAAAUAAUCAUGACUGUCCUUACAAUUUAAAGCACAUUCAAAAUUAAGUUAAUAUUUUUAAAUACCAUUUUUCCCUCAUAUCUCUCGUCAAUACUAGUAGUUUAAUUUGAUUUCGAUGAUAGAUUUUGUUUUCUUAUUUAGCUGAAAAAAAUGACAUAAAUGACAUAAAUGACAUCACUAUAAGUGUCCUUUUUGUUAGUUGGCAAAAAAGAUUAAGCUUUGUCAAAAAAAAAAAUUGUCAAUCCAAACCAAUAAAAUUUGAGGGCGGGUUUUCGCAAUAUAGUUGAGGUGUCUCCAUAAAUUUUUACUUUAGGAUUAGUGAGAACAAGCUUCUCAUUUUUAAAAGUUAAACAAAAUCUAACAAUUUAUUAAGUUAGUAACCAAUGGUAAGGUUAUUUAUGAUAAUUUAGUACGAUUGGAGGGUUUCCGUGAAAUUUUAAAUUUUAUAGGAGCAGGCCACCAACUAGCCAAGACAAAGAAUUGUUAUAAACGUAACACGGUUUAUAUAUACACUAUCAGCUCCCUCCCUCCUUUAGGCUAAAGUACAAAAAAAAGUUUAUAUAAAUAUCUGCUUUUGUAUUUUAUUUUUCUAUCUUUCAAAAAUAUUUUAUUUGUUUUUUAAAAAAUUGAAAUUAUUGUACAUAAACAGGUAUCGUUACUAUUUUGCUACUAUUUUGUAUAUAAAGUAUGUACCACCGACGGUCGAGUAACUUAUUAAGAUAUCAAUUAAUGCAUAAGAAUUUAUUUUUCGGUCAAAUUAAUUUUAAAAAUAAAAUGGAUAUUUUAGCAGUUAUUUAGUUGUAACAGUAUAAUGUAUUUAUAGAAUGGUGACGAAAUAGUAAUAGCACGAGUUAAUUAGUGCUACAAUUUUAAAUUUUGAGUUAAUAAAAUAAAAUUUUAAAAAAUAUAUGGUAGAGUAGAAAAAUAAAUAUUUAUAAGUAUUUAUGAAGUUCAGCAGCCAGACUAUGAUUUCGUUUGGGAUUGCGGGGAGAUUACGUUACAUGCGGUAAGAAACGACGAUGAAAAAAUAUCCUAGCUUGUUUGUUUUCGUACGUAAUAUUGCGUUCCGUAUAUUGUAAUUAGUCGGUUACGAUAUAUUUUCUGCGGUCCUAUUGGAGAACGUAGAAACAAAUCCGCAUAUACUUUUUCUCAACUCCAUUCUAUUUAAUAGCUUUAGAUCCACCUCAUUACCAAACUAAGCCUAUAUUUAGAAGUACGAAAGGUUUACUAUUAUUAACUUUCUAGUCAAUAAAUUCUUUUGGCUCUUAAAUCAUGCACAAUAGAAAGAAAAAAUAUGCGACAAAAAAAUUUACGAGCACCGAAACUUUUAAAAACAAUCCAGUUAAACUCGAAUUUAUGCAUCAUAUAUAUAAAAAUAAAAACAAGGAAAAAGAAAUGAAGGAGAAAUGCCACGAAGGCCAUUUAGGCGCGUUGUCUUGACCACGCCCCACACCUGUCCGAGUGUCAAUUCCCACCAUUUCGAAAUACUAGACGUAGUAACCAAUCCAAACGCGUUAACAUCCAUGUAUACUACCAAAUUAAAACCAAAGCCGCAGCUAUUCACGACUCUUCAAUACUUUAAUUUCCCCUUCGGAAACUUCUCCUCCCAUUCUCCAUAUAUAGAUCCCCGCGUAACUCUCUCUCUCUCUCUCUCUAUAAAUAUAUAAAUAGAUCCCACUUGAUCCUCAUAUCCUAUCCUCUCCAAACCCAUUAAUCAACAUCUCUCUCUAAUUAGUUAUCUCCUCUUUAGUUCGCACAGAUUCUCUCUCUCUCUCUCUCUCUCUCUCUCUCUCUCUCUCUCAAUUAUGGCUGACGCGAAGCAAGCCAACCUAAGCGGCGCCUACUACGGCCCGCCGAUCCCCCCGCAGAACACGUACCGCAGCGUCGGCCGCAGCUCCGGCUGCAACCCCUGCGCCUGCCUCUUCUGCACCCUCUUCAAGCUCAUCUUCUCCAUCGUCGUCAUCCUCGGCAUCAUCGUCCUCGUCGUCUGGCUCGUCAUCCGCCCCUACGGCCUCAAAGCCCACGCCGAGUCCGCCGCCCUCACGCAGUUCGCCCUCUCCUCCUCCAACACCCUCGACUUCAACCUCACCGUCGACAUCGCCGUCCGCAACCGCAACAAGAGGAUCGGCAUCUACUACGACUACAUCGAAAGCCAAGCGUUCUACGACGGCGACCGCUUCGGCUUCGAGCUGCUGCCGCCCUUCUACCAGGGCCACAAGACGACCAGCGAAAUUAAGCCCGUGUUCCAGGGGACGCAGCUGAUGCUCGGGAACUCGGUUUCGACGACCUACAACACAGAAAAAGGUAAAGGGUUUUACAACGUCGACGUGAAGGUGUACACUAAGCUCAGGCUCAAGAUAUGGAUCUUUAAGAUUCACCAUGUUAAUCCCACGAUUAAGUGCACUUUGAGCUUACCUGUUCCCAGCAACACGAGCUCAACGUCCACGGUGAAUUUGGGGACCGAUUGUGACGUGGACUACUAAUUAAUACGUAAACAUAUAUAUUAGCUAUAUAUAUUUCUAUUUGUUGAUUCUUUUUGUUUUUUCGCUUAUUUUAUGAGAGAGUAUUUAUUUAUAUAUAUGUUGGUUGUAUGGAGAUAUUUGUACACUUUUUUGUAUAUUUACAGCACGAGAUGAGUGAAUAAAUUGAUGUUUUAUUAAGUGGGUUGGUCAUGUUAUAUUAAUUAUGUGGAUGGUGAUCGAAUGAUGGUGAUGGACUAUUGACUUAUUCAGUAGUUUGACAAAUUUAAACACGACUUAUCGAGAUUACUUCGCUAAUAAGGCGUGUGGCAAAGUCACAGUUUACUCAGUAAGAACACCGACACGUGUCGAUCAUACAAGUAUAAAUGGAGGUUUGGACAGCAAAAUUAACUAUUGCAUUCUCCUAGGUUAGGUGAAUUUGAUUUAUAAUUUAUUUAUGUCAAUAAAUCAAACGCAAUUAAUUUUUUUUCGCACUGAAAGUACCAACAUGGCCACGGCACUACGACUAUAAAAUUCUAAAAAUCUUGUAGGAAUACUGGAUGUUUUAUUUAGAUUUUUUUUGUUAAAAAAAUUUACAAGUUUUGUAAUUUUGUAAAGCUGAUUUGUAUUAUUUUGGUUUCUCCGAUUUAGCCCCAUAUUAUUAUAUUCUUUUCAGAACACUCUUAUUUAUGUAUAAAAUACGUAUAGAAAUGAUCACCUGCAUGUUGGUUGCACUCGAUGAGGCAUACAACUCACUAUUUUGCCCGGAUGUUGGAAAUAGAAGUCGUUAUUCGCUCUUGUCGUUGUUUGUUCCGCGAAAAAUUCAAAAAUUGGCCGUCCAAGAUGGACCCCGGAUAUGUCUCCUAGUUUUAAUGGGAUAUUAUCGACGGUUUGUUAGGGGAUUCUCCAAGAUCGCUUCCACUUUAACCCGUUUGACUCGGAAGGAGAAAAGUUCCAAUGGAUGCCUAAGUGCUAGCAGAGAUUUGAGGAGCUCAAAAAUAGUCUAACAUGCACCAAUGCUUGCAUUGCCGAGCCAAGAGGAGGAUUUCGUGAUAUAUUGCGAUGCUUCUCAGGUCGGUUUGGGCUGCGUGCUUAUGCAGAAGGACUGAGUUAUCACUUAUGUGUUGCGGUAGCUCAAAAGUUAUGAAAAAAAUUAUUCUACACACGAUCUUGAGUUGACGGCCAUGCCCUGAAGCUUUGAAGGCAUUACCUAUAUUGGGCGCGCACUACAACAAAAAUUGUCUAUAGCGACACUUUUAAAUGUAGGUACAUGUCAAAAAAGUGCUGCUAGCUAAAAUUACCGACACUUUUAAAAAGUGUUGCUAUAUAUGGGUUCGCUAGGUAUAUAGUGACAGUUAAAGAGUGUCGCUAUAACCUAAAAGAGUGCUGCUAAUUUACCAACACUUAUUUAAGCAUUUAGCAACCGCCGAAACUCUAUCUCGUUGGCUGCGGUGGCAGAGGAGGACGACAGGAAAGGCUCUUCGUCUAGAAUUUCAGUGGAUUGAUUGAAGAGAGAAGAAAAGAUGGUAAUUGAUUUUUUUUUUUCUUUUAUGUUUGUAAUUGGGCCAAAUGGACUGGGUGUGGUGGGUUGAGUAGAGUAAUCUUUUAUUUUUGAUUGGAUUGAGCUUUAUAUUUAGGUAUUAGUAGAUAUUUUUUUAAGUUUUAGGAUAAAUGGGACACUUACUCAAAAGUGUCCCAAACAUGUGUCCCUAUAACCUAAUUCUGUUGUAGUGGAUUGCCAGGUGUAUACCGACCACUAAAGCCUCAAAUAUCUAUUCAUACAGAAGGAAUUAAAUCCGAGGCAAAAACGGUGACUCCUAAAGAACUACGACUUCUCUAUCCAAUACCAUCCAGGAAAGGCAAAUAUAGUGGCUAAUGCUUUGAGCAGGAAGAACACUCAUGCAGAGUUGUUGAUGCUGAUCACCAAGCAGGACCGCUUGGUGGAGGAAUUUCGACGGCUAGAGUUAGAGGUGGUACCCUCGAGCAUAGUUGCUCUGUUUUUCAUCUUAUGUUAUAACUCACCUUGGCGAACAGGAUUAAGGAAGGGCCAAGGACAGAUUAGCAUAACUUGGACCUAUAAGCACCACUACAGGAAAAGGCGCUUGUAGAGGCAGUCAUAAAGAGGUAGUUGUGCGACCCGUCUCUAAAUUAUAUGUUAGAGACACAUUAGAGGCAAUUUUGAAAAACCGCAUCUACAUCCGAAAAAAAAAAUGUAAACUUUUGUCUUUCUCCCCAACUCCCUUCAUAAAAAAAAAUCCUAGCUAUUUACCCCCAAAAGCAAAUCUCCCCUUCCCCCAACCUUCUCGUCCCAAAAAACCCAUCCAUAGAUAGAUCCCUUCAACGGCUGUUCCUCUCGCCGGCUGCCCCGGCGGCGACGACUGCUAUUUCCCUGCCGACUGCCACGCUCAUCCCGCUCCUAAGCCGUGUUUGCUGAGGUGACAUUCCCCCAACCCAAAAAACUCUCUCGCGUCUACUCCGGCGCCCCCUCCGACCACUCAGGUACGCCUCCCUAACCUUUUCCCCGUGCUUAGGCUUGCGCCUCCCACCCCCCAGUGCUCAGGCCCCUGCCAUAACCCCCGACUCAAGAGUUCAGGCCCGCCCGGCGCCGCGCCUCUCUCCCCCUGCGUUUAGGCCCUCCCCUCCCCCUCCCCUUCCCCAUUUCCGGCAUCGGGCCGGCCAACCCACCUCCUAGCAGCGGACCAACUCCGCACGCAUCCCCCCGGUAGCGGCGGGCCAACUUCGUGCACGUCUUCCCUGUCACGCCCCGGAUUACCACGUUUCUCCCAACAGAACUGCCGUAUACAUAGGUAUUUUCCGUGUAUACAAAGUGAUAGCUGUACCUGUAAGCAAGUUAUAGCCACAACCACGAGUAUAGAGCUACUAAAACUAAAACAUGUAUAUAUAAAACUGAAGGUUCAUAGUACAUACAAAAACUCCGAACCAAUACUAACAUUUCGCUCCAGCGAGUAAACCGGACAUAGAGUAUGUACAUGAACAAAACCCACUACCUCUGACGGGUACUCCGCUAGUACAGCAACCAAGGGUAGGAAGAAUCUAGCUGGUGACUCCUUUUCUGCGGUCGGAAUCAACAACAGCAGCAGCCGCAGCCGCAGACGAAGGCUCUGCAAAAAAGGGUCAACAACUGGGUGUGAGAACUACUACAAAAUAGAGUAGUUCCCAGUAGGUACCGCCACCGACCUCAACGGCUCACCCAAUAAGUCUACAGAAAAUGUGUGCAAAAGAUAGUAAGGAAAACUGAAAAGAACUCUACAACUACAUGCCCCUAUACUAUCGCUAACUAACACGGACUAUCUGUAGAUAUGAAAUGCAUCCACUGACCCACUCUCACUAGCUAGGGACUGCGAUACGCCCGUCUCGCCUAUCGAAGCUACACUGCACACCACCCACAGGGGUGGCCUGUCCAAGAACACUGUCCAAACAGGACUGGUGCGACGACAAUGCACGUAAAGCCUCACUUUGACCCAAUCUCACUAGGGACUGCGAUACGCCCGUCCCGGUUGUCGAAGCUGCCCCGUCCACCACUCCGAGGGCUGCCGGUGGCGAGAUCUCACUUGGGACUGUGCUACACCCGUCCCGUCUGCCUAAGCUACACCGUACACCACCCCAAGGGCUGCCAGUAGCGAGAUCUCACUAGGGACUGUGGUACACCCGUCCCGUCUGCCUAAGCUACACCAUACACCACCCCGAGGGCUGCCGGUGGCGAGAUCUCACUAGGGAUUGUGCUACACCCGUCCCGUUUGCCUAAGCUUUACCGUACACCACCCACUAGAAUGACCGUCCAAGUAGAAAGGUCGAACAGGACUACUGUGACUCAAUACACGUCACAGCUUCACUGAGGGUAGAGAAAGGUGUCGCUAACUACCACUGACCCAACCUCACACGGGCUGCCCAAACGGACUCACCCUGCCUGUAUCCAGCUCAAGAACAGUUCAAACAGAAACUGCAAUCUCAUCGCACUGAAAUCUCAUUCCGGAAUGGUAUUCAUGGGCGUGACCCAACAGAGUUUAUAAGUGUCUCUGUCGAGUUCAUUCAGACUCUCACAGGUUGUAAUCACUGUAAAUAGGUUAAAUUGAUCUAAGUCGCUAUAAAUGGGUCAAACUGAUCUAAGUCACCCAUAACUCACGUGCCCUUAGCACAAUCCGAUGCAAAAAUAUAGAAAUCUGGGUCCACCGUCAACCCCGACGGCACCUGACAGUCCAACACUGUCUAACUCUACUGUAACCACACACUCGGCUCCUCAGCGCGAGCGUAAAUUCAACCUACACUCAUCUGGGUAUCCACCUUGCACUAGCAGCGGUGAUACAAAAAUCUGGAUCCACCGUCAACCCCGACGGCACCUGACAGUCCAAACGCUACUAAACAACAAGCUCGGCACCUCAGCACGAGCGUAAUGUGAGUCUACUCUAAACUGGGUAUCCUGUAACAUACUGAAACUCGGUAGAGAAUAUCGAACUUUAAUCAAAUUGACUAAAGCGUGCAAAAGAAAUGGUUAGACAAGUUCUAUUUAACAUUCCAAUAAGAUUGAAAGGGUUAAAAAUGAGUUUAAGAGAGGUUAGAAGAGUUUUAGCAUUGCUCGGCGCAAAAGAGAAGUCGAAAAAGAGCUAAAAAGCAUUCUAGAGCAAAGUGUACCGGUACAGCGUUGAUGGUUGUACCGGUACAGCAAGCAACCCGAGGAGUAGCUGCUCUCGGGUUUAAGCAAAAUUGAAUGUGUACCGAUACAAAUUGAAAGUGUACCGGUACAAAUAGUGCGAACCGAGAAAACUGCUCUCGGGUUUGGCCUCUGCGCAGAUGUGUACCGGUACAAAAACCCGUGUACCGGUACACUUUGGCUCUGGGAGCAGGGAUUGAUCUGUUGCAGAAUAGAAUUUUUGGGGGGCUCAGUUGCAAAUAUUACAACAUGUUAAUACCCCAACUCUUCUCCCCUUCACAGCCAACAGCCCCAACUCUCUCCCUCUCUCAUUCCUCUCUUUCUCUCUCUAGAGAUCUUGCUCUAGGAUAAGGAGUUGAAGGAGAAGAAGACAUUAGAGGAGAUUUUGGUGGUCUAGAAGGUCGAGAAGCUCUCCUACAAGGUGGAACUUGGGAGGAGCUUGGGCUAAGGUGAGUUUUAGUGUAAAGCCCAUCUAGGGUUUGGAUUUCACCCUAGGUUUUGGGAGUUUUGAGUUUGUUUCUAGCUUUAGAAACCCUUUUGAGGCUUGAGCACUAUAAAAGCCAUGAAAACUCAAGGUCCCCUCACGGUGAACUCAUAGGGUUUAAAGUAGAUGCCCUAGGAAUGGUCCAAAUGGCUUGGAAAUGGUAUUAAAGAGCUUCAUAGUUGAUUCUAAGCUAGCUUUUGCUUAGGAAUAAUAUCAAUCUAGAAAAAAUAGCAAAAUGAUAUUGUUAGGGCACCAAAAUUGAGGCUUUUGUUAUGGUUGGAUCUAAAUGUAAAUUAACCCUAUACAAACCUAAUUGUUAGGUAUACGAACAUUUUGGUGAAGUCGAUUCGGCGAUUCGUCGAGCCUACGUGAAGUUGUUGAAGAAACGGACCGUUAAAGCUUCGCUUCCGCCUGGAGGGCCGAGGCGACGUCCAAAAAUCACGAGAACGGAUUCGGAGCAUCUUAGCACCAAGUUAUAGACUUUCAAUUUCUGGAUCGUGGAUUGGUGGCCGUUUGAGUGGUCGUCGCAAGUUCGGGCCGAGCCGGAUCACAGGUGCCGCGGGAGGCCGAUUGCAAGUGACUACAAGCAAUCGGAAAGCGAUUUGAGAUGGGUUGUGCUCACCGAAGCGACUAGGUCGCCUUCAUGUCGAAGAAGAUAUGGUUUCAUAUUGAUGCAUAUAAUGGUAGCUAGUGGUAAAAUAUAUGAAUGCAUGAAUUGAAUGCUAUGUUAGGCUACCAAGGAUUGCAUGAUGACAUAAUGCGAAUGAUGCUAGUUGAGAGCAUAAGAGAAACGACCUAUGCAUGUAAAUAUUAUAAGAACGUGCUAGUUGGAAUGCAUAAUGACAUAUGUAGAGAAUGCUAAUUGAGAGGUGCAUAUUGUAAUAAAUACUAGAUAAAAUGCAUAAUGAUAUAAGAUGAGAAUGCUAAAUAAAAUGCAUGUUGAUAAAUUAUAGAAUAUACUUGAUUCAAAUGAGUCGAACUUGGGUAGAUAACUCUAGGUGCAUUAGAGAACUCGACAUUGAAAAAUAAGAAUGUGUAAACAUGGAAUACUCGAUUUGGACAACUAGGAGGUCAAAUAGAUCGAGUUGUAUUGAACCUAGUGUUGUGAACCUAGGAUGGAGAUGUGUGGCAUUUAACCUAGUGUUAAUAAACAUAGGUUGGUCAAGAGUGGCAUUGAACCUAGUGUUAAAGAACAUAGGUUGAGAAUUGAACCUAGAGCCAAUUGGACCUAGGAUGGAAAGGACAUUGGACUUAGAUAGGUCGAUACUAUAGGGUUAAGACCAACCCUUGAGUUAUGUGAAAUGGAAAGGUGUCAGUACCCUUAGUAAAGAAUAAAGCUUGGCUAAGAAUAAACAGUGGCUAAUAAGAAAGAAUUGCAAGUAUUAAAGAAUGGCUAACAAUAAAGAACGGCAAAUGAUAGAGAGUUAAAUCAUUUAAUCUACUUGCAUAGUUGCAUGAAUUUCAUACUGCAUAUUGUGAGGCACAUUCAUGUAUUUUAAUAUUUCAUAAAAUACUUGUGGAUAUCUGUUGGACUAACAUGAUUGCAGUGCCUCCUUGGACCUGAUGCGUCGAGCUUUUUCCUUGGGUGGCCGUACCCAUUGGAAACUAUGGACAAUAAUUCUCACCCCCGUAUUAUUUUGGGGGUACAGGUUCACACGUGAGCGGCGCAGCGGCACGAGGCAAAGGUAUAGCUCCGUAGAUAGCGCCCUACCCCAAAGACCAGAGAUAGCAGUACCCCGAGGUGGUCUAGCUUAGGGGUUUAAAAGACAAUGAAUCAAAGUUGUAAUAAAUUGUAAUAUCUAGAUUGUAAUUUGAAAGUUGAAUGUAAAAAAAAAUUAUGAUGAAAGAAUAUGUCUAGUGUGAAUGCUUGUAAUAGCAAGUAGUUUUAUGUUUUUGAUACUUCCUUAUGCAAUUUUUGAUUGAAAUGUGUUCCUGAUUGGAAUAUCGUAUAUUGUAUUGAUUGCGACGCCUAAGAUGUACAAGAGUAAAUCUGUCCGUUCGGCGGUCUGUCGGUGUCCCCGAACCCGACCAAAUAGGCGGGGCGUGGGGCGUGACAUAUUCACUACGCACUAACAGCGGUGAUACAAAAUACAGUAGCUCCUGUAACUAAAUCUGAUAAUUUUUCAGAAAUUGACAGUGUAGGUUUACUGGUUUUCUCUUAAGUCAAUUCCAAGUUCAACAUAUAAAAAGGUUCUAAACUUAAGGCUCCAAAUUCAUAUUCUAUAAAAACUAUGCAAAUCGAUGAAUUGAGCUACUAAACAUGAUACUACACAAAACAUACAUGCUGACAAAAGCCCGACUAAGGAGAAAAUCCAACGAUUUCGGUAAACAUUAACCCACCUCGAACGCUUGUCCAACGUCGGUAAGAAGUCGACUAGAGAAACCCGCACGCCCGCUUGACCUCCAACCCUCAACCAGUCUCGACCCACACGCACAAACAAUCCUCCGAGCAAGCGAGAAAUCCACCGGAGCUCGAGCCACGACCUCCACAACAUACGGUUAUUCACUAGCUAGAGAGAGAGAAGAAGAAGAAGAACCUACUGAGCAAAGCUUCUAACAUACUAUAUAGAGCUGGGGUCGGUUGGGAUUAACAUCACAACCAAAAGGACCAAAUUUUCCUUCACCAACUUAAAAUUACAGCUGGAGUACCAGUACUCAACUUGAAUGCCGGUACUCAGCUUCUCACACUGCUGUCUCGCGCACUGGGUACCGGUACUCAUCCGAUGCAGUACCGGUACUCGGGCUCGGUACCGGUACUCGACAAGUAGGUAUCGGUACUCAGCAUCAAACAUGCGCAAAGCCGAGAGCAUCCAACCCUGUAAUUCCACUAGGGUACUGGUACUUCUCUCAGGUACCGGUACUCAAUACUGAAAUCCUGCACUUUGCAGAUUUUAGUGCUAAAACUCCACUCUCGCCUCACACUGAGUUUGUUUUGCGUCCAAUUCACGCCAAAACGAUUCCUACUUGUCCCGACACUCACCAGACGUGUCAACAAGCUUCAGAUGCUGAGUUCCACGAACAGCGAAGCACCAGGGACACUACACCCCCGGCAAUGGCGAACUCAUUCUUAUACGUAUUUUAUGCAUAUAUAAUAAUAUUUUGGAAAAAAUAUAAUAAUAUGGGGCUAAAUCGAAGAACCAAAAUAGUACGAAUCGGUUUUACAAAAUUACAAAACUAGUAAUUCUUUUUAACAAAAAAGCCUAAAUAAAACAGCUAGCAUUCCUACAAGAUUUUUACACUUCGUUUGGUUCGGGGAUAAGGGCGGAGAUAACAUCUUAUCACCUCCUUUACAUCUAAACGCUAUUUUUCGUACCCGAGAAGAGUAGUUUUUGGAUAUCUGAAAUAAGUUGGUAUAACACGGGAUAAAUCUAGAAUUGUGUUCCAUCUUUAUUCCUGAAACAAAAUUAAUUAAACUCUAAUUAAUAAUUUUAAAUCAUGAAUUAACCUAAUUAAUAUAUUUAAAAUAAUAAUUAAUCAAAUUAAUAUUAUAUUCUUAUUUCUGGAUAACCAACUAAGGAUGGGAAUAGUNUGGUGCAUGUUAGACUAUUUUUGAGCUCCUCAAAUCUCUGCUAGCACUUAGGCAUCCAUUGGAACUUUUCUCCUUCCGAGUCAAACGGGUUAAAGUGGAAGCGAUCUUGGAGAAUCCCCUAACAAACCGUCGAUAAUAUCCCAUUAAAACUAGGAGACAUAUCCGGCGUAUAUUUUGGACGGCCAAUUUUUGAAUUUUUCGCGGAACAAACAACGACAAGAGCGAAUAACGACUUCUAUUUCCAACAUCCGGGCAAAAUAGUGAGUUGUAUGCCUCAUCGAGUGCAACCAACAUGCAGGUGAUCAUUUCUAUACGUAUUUUAUACAUAAAUAAGAGUGUUCUGAAAAGAAUAUAAUAAUAUGGGGCUAAAUCGGAGAAACCAAAAUAAUACAAAUCAGCUUUACAAAAUUACAAAACUUGUAAAUUUUUUUAACAAAAAAAAUCUAAAUAAAACAUCCAGUAUUCCUACAAGAUUUUUAGAAUUUUAUAGUCGUAGUGCCGUGGCCAUGUUGGUACUUUCAGUGCGAAAAAAAAUUAAUUGCGUUUGAUUUAUUGACAUAAAUAAAUUAUAAAUCAAAUUCACCUAACCUAGGAGAAUGCAAUACUUAAUUUUGCUGUCCAAACCUCCAUUUAUACUUGUAUGAUCGACACGUGUCGGUGUUCUUACUGAGUAAACUGUGACUUUGCCACACGCCUUAUUAGCGAAGUAAUCUCGAUAAGUCGUGUUUAAAUUUGUCAAACUACUGAAUAAGUCAAUAGUCCAUCACCAUCAUUCGAUCACCAUCCACAUAAUUAAUAUAACAUGACCAACCCACUUAAUAAAACAUCAAUUUAUUCACUCAUCUCGUGCUGUAAAUAUACAAAAAAGUGUACAAAUAUCUCCAUACAACCAACAUAUAUAUAAAUAAAUACUCUCUCAUAAAAUAAGCGAAAAAACAAAAAGAAUCAACAAAUAGAAAUAUAUAUAGCUAAUAUAUAUGUUUACGUAUUAAUUAGUAGUCCACGUCACAAUCGGUCCCCAAAUUCACCGUGGACGUUGAGCUCGUGUUGCUGGGAACAGGUAAGCUCAAAGUGCACUUAAUCGUGGGAUUAACAUGGUGAAUCUUAAAGAUCCAUAUCUUGAGCCUGAGCUUAGUGUACACCUUCACGUCGACGUUGUAAAACCCUUUACCUUUUUCUGUGUUGUAGGUCGUCGAAACCGAGUUCCCGAGCAUCAGCUGCGUCCCCUGGAACACGGGCUUAAUUUCGCUGGUCGUCUUGUGGCCCUGGUAGAAGGGCGGCAGCAGCUCGAAGCCGAAGCGGUCGCCGUCGUAGAACGCUUGGCUUUCGAUGUAGUCGUAGUAGAUGCCGAUCCUCUUGUUGCGGUUGCGGACGGCGAUGUCGACGGUGAGGUUGAAGUCGAGGGUGUUGGAGGAGGAGAGGGCGAACUGCGUGAGGGCGGCGGACUCGGCGUGGGCUUUGAGGCCGUAGGGGCGGAUGACGAGCCAGACGACGAGGACGAUGAUGCCGAGGAUGACGACGAUGGAGAAGAUGAGCUUGAAGAGGGUGCAGAAGAGGCAGGCGCAGGGGUUGCAGCCGGAGCUGCGGCCGACGCUGCGGUACGUGUUCUGCGGGGGGAUCGGCGGGCCGUAGUAGGCGCCGCUUAGGUUGGCUUGCUUCGCGUCAGCCAUAAUUGAGAGAGAGAGAGAGAGAGAGAGAGAGAGAGAGAGAGAGAAUCUGUGCGAACUAAAGAGGAGAUAACUAAUUAGAGAGAGAUGUUGAUUAAUGGGUUUGGAGAGGAUAGGAUAUGAGGAUCAAGUGGGAUCUAUUUAUAUAUUUAUAGAGAGAGAGAGAGAGAGAGUUACGCGGGGAUCUAUAUAUGGAGAAUGGGAGGAGAAGUUUCCGAAGGGGAAAUUAAAGUAUUGAAGAGUCGUGAAUAGCUGCGGCUUUGGUUUUAAUUUGGUAGUAUACAUGGAUGUUAACGCGUUUGGAUUGGUUACUACGUCUAGUAUUUCGAAAUGGUGGGAAUUGACACUCGGACAGGUGUGGGGCGUGGUCAAGACAACGCGCCUAAAUGGCCUUCGUGGCAUUUCUCCUUCAUUUCUUUUUCCUUGUUUUUAUUUUUAUAUAUAUGAUGCAUAAAUUCGAGUUUAACUGGAUUGCUUUUAAAAAAUUAUAAAAAACGCAAGAAAAAAAAAAUAAAAAAAUUAUAGAAAAAGAAUGAUGAUGAUGGAAUUGUAUCGUUAACUGAAAAAAAAUUAUAAGUUGCAUUACUUAAAAUGUAAACUACAGCUUUAAAAUAAAAAUUACACUUUUUAAACAAAAAUUACACUCUUUGAAAAAUAUUUACACUGUUUCUCCUCUUAUUGCACUCUUUUAAAUGUAAACUGAAUCUAUUAAGAUGAAAGUUACACUCUUUAAACGAAAGUUGCACUGUUUUUUCUCUUAUUGCACUAUUUCUCCUCUUGUUAUAUUAUUUUUUAUUUUAAACUGCACCCCUUAAAGAGAUAUUUAUACUGUUUCUCCUCUUGUUGCACUGUUUCUCCUUUUAUUGCACUAUUUCUCCUCCUGCAUGUUAUACUGUUUUUAUCUUAAAUUGUAGCAUUUGAGAGGAGAAAUAAUGAAACAAGAGGAGAAAUAGUGCAACAAGAGGAAAAACAGUGCAACAAGAGGAGAAACAAUAUAAAUAUCUCUUAAAUGGGUACAGUUUAAGAUAAAAAAUAGUGUAACAAGAGAAGAUAUGGUGCAACAAGAGGAGAAACAGUGCAACUUUUGUUUAAAGAUUAUAAUUUUCAUCUUAGUGGUGCAAUUUACUUCUGAAAGAGUGCAAUAAGAGGAGAAACAGUGUAAAUAUCUUCCAAAAAGUGUAAUUUUCGUUUAAAGAGUGUAAUUUUUAUUUUAAAACUGCAGUUUACAUCUUAAGUAGUGCAACUUAUAAUUUUUUUUGCAGUUAACGAUGCAAUUUCAUCUUCAUCAUUAUUUUUCUAUAAUUUUUUAUCUUUAUUUUUUCUUACUUUUUUUAUAAUUUUUUUGGUCACCCCUUUCCACGGUGUCGGCAACGAUGGCGCUAAGAACCCCCCGCUCCGAGGCUGCAGCGCCGCAGUGACCUCCACGGUGUCGGCGCCGGCGUCGGCGCCGGCGAAGAUGCAUCGUCGUCGGAGGCGGCAGAGGAAGAGGGAGAGGGAGAGGACGAGAAGGGCGGAGAAGGGCAAGAGAGGCGUCGUCGUGGGAGACAGUGGAGGAGAGUCGAAGAGGGGAAAAAAAAAAAAGAGUCGCGGCGCGCCCUCGACAGGGUCGGAGGCGAGGAAGGUGCGGGGGUCUACAGGCGAUGGUAGGGAUGCGUCGGCAUAUUGUCGACACCGGCGAAGAUUCUUCGUCGUCGGAGGCGGCAGAGGAGGAAGGAGAGGGAAAGGACGAGAAGGGCGGGGAAGGCGAGAGAGGCGUCGUCGUCGGAAACGGUGGAGGAGAGUCAGAGAGGAAAAAAAAAAGAGUUCGCGGUGCGGCCUUGGCAGGGUCAGAGACGAGAAAGGUGCGGGAAUGUGCGGGUGAGGGUAAGGAUGCGCCGGACAAGCUGCCUCCUCCGCCUUCGCCGCUCUCUGGGAAGAGAAAGAAAAAAAGAACGAGAGAAAAAAAAAAGAAGAGAGAAAAAAGUAUAAGGGUAUUUUGGUCAGUUUGCUGAAAAAGCGGACCGAAUUUGCAAAAACGAAAAAGGUGGCCGAAUUUUGCAAAAGUCCAAAAUAAGUGAAUUUUUUAUGCCAAUUGGCCAAUUCAAAACUAUUAGUAUAUAUAUUGACGAGAGAUAUGAGGGAAAAAUGGUAUUUAAAAAUAUUAACUUAAUUUUGAACGUGCUUUAAAUUCUAAGGGAAGUCAUGAUGACUUUUUAUAUCUUCAAGAGAUUAUUAACUUCAAAAAGAUAUUAAUAAAUUACGUACGAGAUACUAAGAAGUUAUCUAUAAAAUUAUUAGGCCAAUGUGCAUAAAAAUUUCACAUGUUUUGCAUUUUUGUAAAAGUACAUCUUUUUUUGAAUUUUGCAUAUAAGAUCUGAAUUUUCAAUAAACUAAUCAAAAUACUCUUAUUCCUCGCUUUCUCUCAUUUCUCUCUCUUCCUUUUUCUCCUCUCUCUUUGUCUUCCUCCUCAUCUCCUCCUUUCUUUCUCCUAUCGCUUCUUUUCUCUGCUCCUCUAUUGUCCUCACGUCAACACCAUACUCCUCUCGCCUAUCUUGCCUGUACCUCCAUCGACUCAGACAGCGAUAGCAACAAAACGAAAAACUAUAGCUCCUUACGAAUUUUCACCAGAUUAAGGUGUGGGCUUGGAUAUGACACAAUCAGAGAGGUGAGAUUGUGGUGGACGGCGUGAUCAUGGAUGGUGACGGCGACGAGGGUGGCACAUGCUUUGAGGAGGGUGGAGAGGAAAAGUGCGUAAAGGGCAGGAGUGGCUACUGGGGCAGACAGCGAGGGAGAAGACAUGAUAACAAAAAAGAAUGGAGAAGGUGAGAAAAAAAAAGAGAAAAAAAAGAAAAAAAAGAAGAAAAGAAAAGGGAGAAAAAAGUACUAAAAGAAAAAAAAUAAUGAAAAUAUAUAUUUUUCUUCUUCUUGGAGGGCUUAUAUGUUGCGGGCCACUAUAGACAAGGCCAAGAAGUAGAGAAGAAAAAAGAAAAAAAAAGUUGUAUCGUUUAAGACGUAGUUGUAUUGUUAAAUUGUAUCGUUUAAAACUAUUUAAAAUUAAAUUUCACCAUGUAAAAUAGAUGUUGCACUGUUUUGGGAGGAAGUUGUAUUGUUUUAGACUUAAGUUGCACCAUCUUAAAUUAUUUAAGAUUAAGUUGCAACUUAUUAAAUAGUGCAAUUUAAGUAUCAAAUAAUACAAUUUAGUCUCAAACGGUAUAAUUUUUAUUUUUUAUGGUAUAGUUUAUUCUCAAGUAUUAAAAUUUCAUAAAUUUGGCAAAAUUAAUCAUAUUUAAAUUUAGAUUUAUUAUAAAUAAAGAUCGAUCCUAACAGAUAUAAGACUGCUUCAUAUGAUAUAUUUUAUUUAUUUUCUAUCUAUCUUUUAAAUUAAAUACAAUAAUAAUCAGACUUUGAUACGAAGUUAAUUUGGACUCUAUAUAAAAGAUAUACGGUGAGUGAUAUUCAACCCCUAAGCCGAACUUUUCGUGUCUGCAUAUUGAUCAAAAGUUUUUUCCUAUAACACUAGAAGUUAUUUCCGACUUUAUUUAUGAGUUUGGAUAUUAAUAUGUAUUUAUUAUUGUUCGUCAUAUAGAUCUUUCAAUUGGCACAAGGGUGGUAGAUAAUAAAUUAAUUUUGGCUUUGAAUAAUAUAAUUUAUCUACAAUGUUGGAUCCUAAUUAAGGUCACAUGACGUCAUAACAUGUGCAUGCAGGUAGGGGUACCUAGGCCGAACCGGGCCAGUGUUCGACCCAGCCAAGCCGUAAUGGGCCGUACUGGGUUCUGUGCGGGUUCUUUAAAUUUUAAAAUUUUAGAAAAUAUAAAACAUUUUAAAAAUUAAAAAUUAAAAUGAUUUUCUCUUCCUAAUAUGUUAGCUAAAGAAAUAAAAAUUUAUUAAAAAAUUUAUGAAGUAAUAAAGUUUUAAAUAAUUUUAAAAUUUUACAAAAGUUUUAAAUUUUUAGAAAAAACUCUUUUUUAAAAGAAUCGAAAACCUUUGUGACGUGAACCCAUCUUCCAAAGAGGGCCUAGGCCCUAAGCCCUUCUCUUUCUCACCCUUGGGAGUUGGGGCGCCAGAUUGGCUCUCCAAGUCCCGAGAUCCAGCCCAGCUUUGGAGAGUUGGCGAUGGCUCCCCCCAACUCUCCAAGGGCCGAAGGGCCUUGGCUUCCCAAGUUCUAAAGCCGGGCCGUGCUGGCAUGAAAGGCACGGCCCAAGACUGUAACAGGCCGUGCCGUGCCGGACCAACGUACUUAGUUGGAGUGGUUCAGCAUGGCUCAUGAUGCCGGGUCAGGCUGGCCUACAUGGGUUCUAUAGAACCGGUGCCAUGCCUAGGCCCGGCUCUACAUCCCUACAUGUAGGGUCUUACAUAUUAAUAUAAAAUUUGGAAACUUAUAAAAUCUUACGAGUCAUAUGAUCUUAAUUCAUGGGCCUCCUAAUUAAGUCAGAGUAGCCUUCUUUGAUCAUAUAACACUUGCUUACGUUUAGUAUGAACCUGUGGCAAUGUUCUGACCGUGUAUGGUCAUCAAUAAUCCUUCAGAGAUUGGAUUAAUAAGGUAACAAAGGCGGUGUAUGUCGUCUGCGUUUGCCUAUGUACAUAAAUUGGAUCUAACCGCUAUGUGCGCGAGACCAUCCCUAAAGCAAGUGGCAAAGGGCCUGGUGGUUGGUACUCGAGACCCAAGUUCGAAUCCUAGUUGAUUCACAUUUCCAGCUAAGUUUAUUUCUAAAAUGAAGUAAACGAAGCGGAUAGCGUGCUACCUAUCUCUCAAAAAAAAAAAAAACAGCUAUGUGCGCGAGAAUAUUCGGCGGCAUUGUUUGCAUCUGCUACCUUUUUUUUCACUUGUUAACCGUACAUUUCUUUUUUUAUGAACCCGGUCUUCAACAAUUUCGUUGAGUGGGACAAUUAUUCAGGAGAAGGCUGAGUCAUUCUAAUUUGAAUAGAACAAUCAUCAUAUCUACGUUAACUGACCGUCUCUAGUGUAAGUGGCAAAGGGCUUGGUGGUUGGUACUGGAAGACUCAAGUUAGAAUACUAGUUGAUUCACAUUUUUAGCUAAGUUUAUUUUCAAAUGAAAUGAACGAAGCAUGUAGCAUGCUACCUAUCUCUCAAAAAAAAAAUUAUCAUAUAUAUCUAUGUUUAUUUCGUUCCUUUCCCAAAUUUAAAGCUUUAUUAAUUUAUAAUCGCGUUUGCUUUUGCAAAUUAGUUUUAGUAGGUGUUCCAUUUUGACCACAUGCUCAUUACCCAUUUAAUCUUCUUUAUUCAUCUCUAUUCGAUCCAUCAAAAAACAUUAUACUUACAAAAGUAUUGUGAACAUAAAAGUCUUUGUGGUCAAAUAAGGAUAGAUGAAAUUUAUUUUUUGAUUGUAAUAUUAUGCCUUUAAUUAUUGUAUCUAUAUUAAUUCUUAUAUAUCAGUGUGUUAUUUUGACCAGGCUAUCAUAUAUACCUUGCUCUAGCAAUGAAAAGCAUCAUCGUUCACGCACAUAAACCCAUGCCGAACGAAAAGACUUUUCCUUACUCCCCUAAGGCGUCACAAUUUGUAUAAUACAUUCCAUAAAAAUAACACAUAUGGAUUAUAUAAGAAAGGUAACAUUUAAACAUAAAUGCAACUAAUUAUUACAUAAUUUAUUUCGUUUAUAUUUUCAAAAUAUAGUCCAAAAAAUUUCUUUAUUUGUUGCAUUAUGUUUUGCAUUUUGUCAAAAUAGUACUCCCUAAUAAGGGUACGUGAAAAGGCAAAUAUAUUCUCAAUCUACAGUACUACGUCAUUUUCUUGUUCGACCAUAUUUACCUGUAACGAUCCGACCCGCUAGCAACAAUAACUCGUUAAGCCCAAACCACUGGCCCAAAAUAUUUAAGUCUAGUUAUUAUUAUGAGUCCAUCUCUAGUAUUCAUUGCAUUUGGAAAUGUCACACAAUCCAUAUGUCAUAAUGUCAUUUUGUUCUAUACCUUUUCUAGAUUCUUGUCAUUACUCAUGCAUACACAGGGUUACACAAGUUUCAACUCUUUUACAAUCAUUUCUCAUGCAUUUGUACUCACAACAUGCAAAUAUAAGCUCUCAAUUAACCCUAUCAUGCACGAUGCUCAAUAUACAACUUAUGCUAAAAAAUGACAUUUUAGACAUAAAAAAAAUUCAACGUUUUCGGAAUGCACCACCCAGCUUGUAUGGUUACAAGGGUGCUACGGUUCAAUUCUUGAAAUGUUUGGGUGCCUAUUCCGCGUGCUGCGACUAUCUGUACUAAAAAUGACGUUUUUGUCAAUCUCUUUGCGUACACUCGUCGGAUUACCGAAUCGAGUUCAUAUUCUUGUUAGAAAUACCCCUAAUUAGGUUUCUAUAAGGUCAAUUUGUCUUUAAACCACUCUAGGACAAAAGUCCCAAUUUCGAUGCCCUGACAAUGCUAUUUGCUAAAUCUUUGGAUUGGAUCUCUAGAACAAGCAAAAGAAAGCUUGUUGAACCUCUAGAAACUCAUUUAGAACCUUUCCUAAGCCUUUCCAACCAUUUCUAGGGCAUAAAAACUAAACCCUAGGUUUCUACCAUGGGACCACAUGAGGAAAACUUGAUUUCAUGUGUUCUAUAGCCAUUAGAGGAUUCCCACACUUGUAGGAAGCUCAAAUCCAAGGAUUUAGGACAUGAAAUCUAAGCCCUAACCUUACUCUUACAAGAAAACCUUACCUUAGCCCAAAGCUCUCCAAGGUCCACCUUGUAGGAGAGUCCCCAAGCCUUCAAAACUCAAGAAAUCUCCUUCAAAUCGUUCUCCUUCUCCUUCCUCUUAGCUCCUUGGUGUGAUCUCUAGAGAGAGAGAAAGAAAUGAGAGAGGAGAGGUGUUAGGCUGUGAAAGAGAGAGGGGAGGGGUGUUUGGGGUGUUAUUAUGUUGUAACAUUUGCAACAAAAUCCUCAGUUUUCUCUAAUUUGCAGCAGACCUAUUUUUGCUGUCGGGUUCAUUGUGUACCGGUACAGGCUCGGUUGUCACCGAUAAUACGAUCGCGCAGAGACAAAUCCGAGAGCAACUUUUCUCGGUCUGCACUGUUGUACCGGUACAGGUACAAUGUUGUACCGGUACGUACAAAAAAGCUCCAGACUUCUAUUUUUGCAUCUUUUCGAUUCUGUUUCGCGCCGAUUGAUGCUAAAACCUUCCUAACCCUUUUGGAACUCAUUUUUAACCCUUCCAACAUUGUUGGAAUGUUAAUUUGAUUUUGUCCAACUUUUUCUCUUGGAUGCUUUAGUCAAUUUGGCUAAAGUCCAAUGUUCACUAUCGAGGUUUCGGUACGUUACACCGUGAACUGUCGGCGAGUUGAAAAACCCGAACUUGAGUCGAUCAUUAAUUUCGAGUCACAUCUAACAAUAAUUGUAAGAUAAGGGGCAGAAAAUGUAAGCGAGUAGAUGAUGUUCAACUUUCACAUAAUUGGAAGAAACAGAGCAUUUUUUUUAACCUGCUGUAUUGGAAAACUCUUCUAGUACGUCAUAAUCUUGAUGUUAUGUAUAUUGAAAAAAACUUUACUGAUAAUGUACUUUGCACAUUACUUAAUUCUGAAGGAAGGUCAAAAGAUAAUUUCAAGUCUCGUCUCGACCUUCGAGAAAUGGGAAUAAGACAUGAUCUUCAUCCAGUAUUAAGUGGAGCCAAAACAUAUCUGCCCCCGUUAUGCUUUUCCAUGAGCACAAAGGAAAAGGAAGAUUUUUGUAAAUUAUUGAAGGGAGUUAAAUUUCCUGAUGGUUAUGCAGCAAAUAUCUCAAAUCGUAUACAUGUUAAAGAGAAAAAAAUUUCAGGGCUCAAGAGCCAUGAUAGUCAUGUGUUGAUGCAGCAUUUACUCCCGUUAGCUGUGAGAAGACUCCUGCCAGAGAAUGUUAGCCUAGCCUUGAUAGAGCUAAGUAACUUCUUUAGGGAAUUGUGUUCAAAAUCAUUAAAAAUAAAAGAUAUAGAUCAACUGGAAGAUCGAAUUGCUUUGACAUUAUGCCAUCUUGAGAGAAUAUUUUCUCCGUCCUUUUUUGACAUCAUGGUCCAUUUGCCAAUUCACCUUGCUAGUGAGGCCAAACUUGAUGGUUUAGUGCAAUACUGUUGGAUGUAUCCAAUUGAGAGGUACAAUAUGAUAUAAAGAUUCGAAUAGUAAUUUAACAAAUUUAUUAAUUAUUUAUAGUUUUUUUUUUCUAUUUUGGUUCUUAUUUUUAUUGAUUUAGGUUCCUUUUGAAAUUGAAGUCAUAUGUUCGAAAUAGAAGACAUCCAAAAGGUUCAAUCGCAGAAGGUUAUUUAAUUGAGGAGAGCCUAACUUUUUGCUCUCGCUACUUACAUGGUAGUGUUGAAACUCGGUUCAACCGUCGAGUGAGAAAUGAUGAUCCUAAUGCUAGUGACUUCUCUUAAAGAACAUUAUUUUCUCAUAUUGGUCGUGCGCUCGAUGAUGGCGAAACUAUAACAUUGGAUUAUACAACAUGGGUACAAGCUCAUCGAUAUGUGAUAUUUAAUUUCGAUCACAUAAGCUCUUAUCUUGAGUAAGUUCUUAAACUUGAAUACUAGUUAAGAGUCUAUAUGCUAUAAAUUUAAUUUUUAAUAGUGUAUUUAGUUAGGCUUAUUUAAUUACAGAAAGCAUCUUCAAGAAAUCAAGGCACAUAAUCGUCGAGCGCGAAGGCGUGAUGUCGAGCAUAUUCAUAAUGAUACCUUUCAUGAAUGGUUUAGAUUUCAUGUAAGCCUACUUCACUUUGAACUUAAUAUUUUAACUAUUAUAAAGUAAAACUAAGACAUUGAUUGGUUUGUCAUUGUUUAAUAGGUUCGCAAUUUGAUAAGAGAAGAGAGUGUAGAGUUGCCAGAGGAAAUACGAUGGUUGGCAUCGGGUCCUCUAAUGAUAGCAAGGAGAUAUAAAGGAUAUAUUAUUAAUGGAUUUAGGUUUCAGACAAAAGAUGUUGAGGAGAGACGAAGAUCACAAAAUAGUGGCAUUGUUGUUGUUGCAAGCGCCUCAAGCUUUUCUAGUGUAAAGGAUCAAAAUCCUAUCAAAGGAGAUGUUGCAUACUAUGGAGUUCUAAAAGAGAUAAUUGAGCUAUACUAUAAGGCAAAGGUUGUGUUGUUUAAAUGUGAUUGGGUAGAUAUGCGUUCUGAAGGCAGAGGGAUUAAGAAGGACAAAUUUGGAUUUACUCUUGUUAACUUCAAUCGAUUACUAUAUAGCAAUGAAAAUAUAGCGAAUGAACCUUUUGUACUAGCAUCACAAGUUGAACAAGUGUUUUAUAUACAAGACCCUUUAGAGGAAGAUUGCCACGUUGUAGUCUGUACAAAACCUAGAGAUUUGUUUGACAUGUCUGCUAAAGAAGAAGAGUGUGGAGAUGAUAUGAAGAUAUAUUACCCAUAUGGUUUUGAGGGUAAUUUAAAUACAGAUAGCACCACUAGUAAUGAUAUUGAUAAUGGUAGCUGGGCGAGUACAGAUAUUCCUGGAACAACUAUUAAUAUGCUUUUAGAUACUACUCAUCCAAAAGAUGCUAUACAAAGUGAUGACUCAGAGCCUGAAGGAGUUGGUGAUGAUGAUCAUUGGUGUGAUUGAUUUUUCAGUUAUAAGGUUGAUUCAUUGCUUUGUCUUCAAUCUCUUUAAUAUGAAAAUUUUGAUUUAACAAAAAGGUAUAUAUAAAUUGCUUGUUUGCUUUAGAAUUGAAUAUUGUUUCUCUAUUCAUAUUUCAUGAUAUUUAGAAUGCUUGUUUGUUUUAGCAUUGCUCAUCAUUUGAUUUAUAUUUUUGGGAAACUUUCAUUAGCCCAGCAUACUUUAGUAUAUUAUUUCUAGAUUACUUUUAAAGACAAGGGUAUCAUAUUGUUAAUAUAUUCGACCUUUAUUGAAAUCUAAAUUAUCAACUUUUUUUCUUUAAUGUUUAGAUAAUGAAUUACUCUACGUUUUAGUCUUAUAAUACUUUUCUUAAGUAGUAUAUAAGAAUUUUUCUAAUUCUAAAAGAUUCAGUAAUUAUUUUAACAUUAUUUGCUUUGCAGGAGGCUCAACAAUUGACUAUGACACGCACAAAGUUUCAGCGAGGACGUUCUAUGAUUGGUCCUUUAUCUGCAACAAACACCUUUUGUAAUUCUAUUCAGAAAGAUGUACCAUCAAGUAAUCACUCGUUAAGGCAAUCUGAAGGUCGCCUUCAGGAGAAUUUUUUUGAUUUGGGUAUUGAUAAUGAUGACCUGUUUAGGCCUGAUGAUGACCAACCUGAAGAAAAUAUAAGUAUUCAUUCAUAAGACCUAUAGGAGUAUAGUAUAGAGAAUUAAUUGAUCACUGUUAAAUAAUUAUUUUUUAACUAUCUCUUAUGAUUAUUUAAGAACAGAUGCUUCUAAAAAGUCAAGGAAUGGGAGAGGUCCUACUUGCAUGCAUAAAAUAUGGGCUAGACAUGAUGGUGAUUUGUUGGCAUUAACUUAUAAUGAAUUUGAUCAGCCUGUCGGUGAUGAAGCUACACAAUUCACAAACUUUUUAGGCACUGUUGCUAGAAGUGGAAAAGAUGCACCAUUGACAUAUAAAGAUUGGAGGCACAUGCCUUUGGACAACAAAAAGAUAAUAUGGAAUAUUGUUAAGGUAUCAAUUUUUUAGCUGGUUUGUCUUUGUUUUUAAUAUCUAAAUAUCUAUAAGUAAACAAAUUUGAGAAUUUCUUGCAGUUAAAGUAUAAUCUUGGAGAUGAUAAUUGGCCGUGGAUUAUGAAAGCUCUUGGAAAAAAAUGGAAGGACUUCAAAUCUGAUCUAAAAAAAAAGCACUAUGAUGCUCACAGUACUUAUGAAGAUCGUCUUGCUGAUCGUGAUUCGAGAGUCCUCCCAGAGCAGUGGAGAUAAUUGAUUGAAUAUUGGGACAGUGAAGAAGGACAGGUGCUUUAACAAUUUAUUCAUUCUUUAUCGAUUUCAUUUAUUAUUUUUUCUAGUGCAGCUAUAUUGAUGUUUCUUUUAACUAAGUUAAUGUUGUAUAUAGACAUGUAGUUUAAGAAACAAAGGUAAUCGAUCUAAGCAAAUUACUACUCACACUGCUGGCUCAAAAAGUUUUGCUCCUAUUCGUGAAGAAAAGGUAAAUCAUUAGAUUCACUUAUCCUUCUAUAUUGAUAUAUGUGCUACUACAUGAAUUUACUGAUUUAUAACCUUUUUUAUCAUUAACAGCGAAAGGAAAAAGGAGUAUUGCCAACUAGAGCCGAACUAUUUAAGAUUACUCAUAUUCACAAAAAUGGAGAUCCAAUGAAUGAAGAAUGUGCCAAAAAAAUUGUAAGUAUACUAAUAAUUUUUUAAAUUUUUAUUAUUAGAGACUUUAGCUCUUGCCUAAAUAUGAAUAUGUUUUAGUUCAUAUUAAGAUGUUGUGAUAUUGUGAUAUACAUUCAUGUCCAUUUCUAGCUAGUCAUGAUAUUGUGAUAUGCAUGAUUUGUUGUAGAGAGAGAUUGAUGUGAAGACCAAGAAUCAAUCAGCUCUUGCUAAAAAGGGCGCUAAAGAAGUGGUGAUUUAUUCUCUGAUGUAUUUGGAAAAGAAAAAUAUGGUCAUGUGCGUGGCCUCGGCUUAGGCCCUGCUCCUACUCAUAUUUGGACCGAUGCACCUUCACCCGCAGCAUCUAUAAGAAUGGCAACUGAGGCUAGAAAGAAAGCAGAGGAGGAAACAAAAGAAAUGAAAGAAAGAAUGAUAGUUAUGGAAACCCAGUUGACUAAAAUGAAAGCAAUGAUGGUAGCAAUUUUGCAAAAUAAGUCUACUGAUUUUCAUCAAUCUAAUUAUACACCAGCAAAUCCAUUGGAUGGUCGACAGGUUUAAUAAUUUAGUAUUUCUAAAAGAAUUUAUCAAAUAAUCUCUUGUUGAAAUUUUAGUAUUAUUUACAGUGUUAUUCCUUAUGUAGAAUGUUGUUGAUGCAAAUAAUCCUAAUGAUGCAUUUGAGGGAGAAGUGCGAUCAUCAUCAUCCAGUCACGAGUUUCAGUCAUAUCAGGUAAAUAUGUUGCCUAUACACUCAGUGCCGUAUGUUUCCAAGCUACAUAUGUUUAAGACAUUUUUUUAAGGACGGGAAGCAUUACUCUCAUAUGUGUGUGUGUGUGUGUGUGUGUGUGUGUGUGUGUGUGUAUCGGUCAAUAUUUGCUCUUAUAUAUAAACAAGCAAUCUAGAUUUGACACUAAACCUUUCAUGAGCUUGGAUCAUUUCUAGUACUGAUCAGUUUUGUUUGCUUAAAUAGAACUUCUGAAAAAACAGUUAUAAGGUUUUUAUUAAACUAUUUCCUAUACCUUUCGUUAAAGUAAUAAUAAAAAUUAAGCUAUAAACUCACGAAUCUGCUUUGAGCUAUUUCAGUUUCAUAUGCAGUAAAAACUCUAAAUAUUCCUUUUUGAUGAAAAGGACAAUUUGAAUGUUUGAUGUUGCAUGGAGACGACACGAAACGUCCUCGGAGGGGAAUUAUCAUGAAGUUCAAUGAAUAUCGUAGCAUUGAAACUUGGAAUAUCCGAGAGAAGAUCAUGAUCGUCAUGAAUGAUCGAUCCAGUAGAAAGGAAACAGUGUCCUAAUGUGCAUUUGGCAUGUGCAUUCAAUCAGUACUCGCAAUUCUUUGAACUUGGAUUUCUCCAAUAAUUGAUUGGAAAUUCUUUAAUAAUUUUGCGCACUAGCUUGAUAGAAAGUGUUUUCUUGAUUGAUAGCAUAAAUGUUGUGCAAGCUAGUGGCUUUAGGAGUUUUCAUAGUUUGACUCCUUUUUUAUAUUAUUUCGCACAUAGGUUGAACAGUAAUGUUGUUAGGUUGAGACCAGAUCUAUACAACAAAAUCCGAUUUCUUACUAUGUCAUUGCUUGCCCGCCUUUUCUAGAUAGAGGAAUUAUAUGUUAUAUAUGCCAUUUAUUAGAAAACUAUUUAAUUCUCUAAUACAUAUAUAUAUAGGUCCAUCAAAUGAAGAAAAGAAGGGUGCGAUAUGAGCAUGAAAUCGAGGUAAGUAAUAGUCUGCAGAUUAAUAUUAUUUGUUAAAAGUUAUUUGAUGGUGAAAUAUAUGUGUCUCUCUAUAGAAUAAUCCUAGACAGGGUGAAAAGGAAGUGCUCUUGAUGUCCCUUGGACAACCUCAUCGCCCCGUAGCACGAGGACUUUUAUUUAGUAAGGAUCCUUCUACUAUUAUAGGAGGCGAAAGAUUAGGUCAACAAUAUUGGGAGAUUUAUGUUGAGGUAGUAAUGAUACCUAUAGAAAGUCUGAUUCGGACCUAUCGUGGUAUGACGACUCUACGUGAUGCUGCAAGAAAAUCUAUUGCUUGGCCAUCCUAUCUUGUAAGUAUAAUAUAUAUACAUCUAAAAUUGCAUGUAUUAGUUUUGUUCUUUUUGAAACUUAAUAACUUGGUUGAUAUUUUCUUUUUCUUGCUAAAAACGAAACACUCAUGUUUAGUUACCAAAAUUCAAAAAUCUCUUUCUUUUGAUGAAUAGGAAUAUAAUAUUAGACCAAAUAUUUAGUACUUUUUUUUUCCCCUCUAAUGCAGGUUAAGCCGGUGAGAAGGUGAAGAGAUCUAUUGAUUGAUCGCAAGCCUUCAUUUCCUUCAUUUUGUGUAGUUAAGUUAAUCUUAAUAUACCACCAUCUACAAGUCUGCAAUGAGAAUGGAAAGAUGUUCAUAGUUUUCAGCUUGGGAACUAAAUGUUAAACCUAUAUGCCAAACCCUAGCUCUUGAAGAUAGUAAGAUAGGAACAUAUUAUGAUCUGGUUAAUGAAACUAUGCUAAAAGUGUCACGCCCUGCGACCGCUACCCAUUUGGUCCGGUUCGGGCGCGUCGAACAGACGCUGAACGAAUAGCACCUCCCCUGUCUGCCCAAGACAACAACGAGAUCAUGUACAACAAGUUCCCAGGAAAUCAACUUGUAUACAUACACGAUCAACAACAACAACGAGAGCACAACAAGUGCUAAACAAUCAAGAGCAAGGAUCACAAGUAAUAAACAAGUGAACAAAAGAAAGAUACUAAACUAUUACGUCCAUUCAACUUUAAUAUAUUUGAUUAACCUUACAUUCUUCCAAAACAAAAUCAUAAAGUUUACAAUUCUCCAAAAUACCUCACCACCUAUACAUCAUCUAUACUCAUGUACACAGGGUAGCUCUAAUGCAAAAAGGAAGGUCUCUACUAAACCACUAGGGCGCUAUGCCCUUACCACGAUCCUCGCCAGGAGUACUCGAACUCGGACCUGCAACAAAGUGGGGGGAGAACUAUUGUCCGUAGUUCCCAGUGGGUUCGGCCGCCAACUCCGCCGAUCUCCCCACUAGGUCUAAACAGGCAUAGGAAGACAGAUAGAUAGAUGAUAGGUAUGUGGAAAUAAAAACAACAACAACAAUGAUAUAGCAAGUAUCCUACUAUGCCUCAAUCCAAGGUAAUGAAUGCAUGUACUACUAAAUGCAUGUACUACAUAGUAAAAGGCUAGCUACCAUGCUUCUAUGUCCAAUAACGAUGCUACUCGAAAUAUUACCCAAUCACUUGGCUAGCCCGAAGGCUCGCUCUCAAUCUCAAGUUUCAAUCCCAUAGGUGGGGAGUCCCAGCCGCUCGACUCACCCGAGACCGCUUGCGGACAGCUAGCUACUGCUCUCAUGUGUGACCAAACCUUUGGAGUGCACGGCUUGUGUGGAGCGACCACGACAAGCAUAUAACAGGCUACGCGAGCACGAUCCAAUCCUCGUCAACUGAGGAUACCCUACCAACUAGGGUUGUCAUCAUCAUGGAAUCAAUGUAUUCCUAUACUCAGCAUCCUAGUGUUUCAACUACACUAAGGUUCUCAUAUGCCACUCGUCCUUGUGUUUACAUUUAACUAGAUGCCACUCGUUAUCAUUUAAGUGUUUUCAAUACACUACUUGUACCCAAAUCAUUAGGUUAUCAUUCACCUAGGGUUCAAUCCACUAUGUAUCAUCUCAUAUAGGGUUCUAAGCCAUAUCACAUCGACCUCAUGCAUACUAGGUUCAAGUGCUAAAUCAACAAGGCUACUCUACCACUAGUAUGCAAGUAUCUAAGCACCCUAUAUGUAUCAUGCUCAAUAUGCAAACCUGAUCAACAUUACACUUAGACAUAGGGAGUAGUUCAACUGCUUCGGGAUGGUCACCACCCACCUGUUGACGAUGUCGAAGCUCUAGGGAUGCUACUCGAGGAUUGCUACGACGCCGUCUCGGCCUCCUAAGUAGAAAUGAAGCUCAAUCGGCCCCUCUUUGCCGAUAUCUUUCUACCAACUCGACGAAUCGUCGAACUGACUUCGCCGAUGCGUUUAGACACCUAUCAAUUGGGUUUACAACCAACCAAAUGAGAUCAAAACCCAACAUUUCCCAAAAACCCCAAAUUGGAGCCCUAGAUUGCAAUUAAUGCAAUCUACUCUAAUAAAACCCUUGAUUCAUGCAAUUAGCAUCUACUCAGCACCAUUAGGUUCCAUCAAAACCAUUUCUAGAGUAUUUAAACCUAAACCCUAGAAAAUGCCAUUAGAGAGGUUGGAGCUUACCUCAAACACCUAGCUCCAAGCUUGAGAGGAAGAAGAAGAAGAUGAUCUCCUUGCUCCUAGCUUCAAUCUCCACCAAGUCUUCUCUCAUUUUCCACCUUCUAGAGAGAGAGGAAAAAUAGCUUAGAGAGGGAAAGAGGGAGAGAAAUAGGUUUUGGGUUAGGCAAAUGAGAGAAUAAGAGAGAGGAGUAGCCCCCAAGCAACUCUUAUAAUGCACAAUUGCUGAAAAUCCCCUCAACUUUCCAACUUUGUGACCGCCCAUCACUGGGCUUUUCGGGCUACGGGGACCGGUCCCUCUAAGGGAGGACCGGUCCCCGAGAGCAGUCACACAGGCUGAGCAUCAGCUCAACCCUUUGCACGCUUACGGGGACCGGUCCCCUCCCUGAGGGACCGGUCCCCGAGAGCAUUCACACAGGUUGAGCCUCAGCUUAGCCUCUUGCACGCUUACGGGGACCGGUCCCCUCCCUGAGGGAUCGGUCCCCGAGAGCAUCAAACCUGCAGUUUUUGCAGAUUUCGCACAGUUUGCUCUCGCGGGUCCUCCUCAAUGCACUUUUCGCAUUUUAAACAUCUUCGGACUUUCCGAAACACACCCAAUCGACAACCAGUCGAUUCCAAUCGAAGUCCAACUCUCGUAUUCCGAGAAUUCACUUCCUUACAAAAAGACUCUGCAACUAGGAUCCAUGAUUGCAAAUACUAUAGGCAUCUGAAUUUUGAGUUUUCAACGUUAAAGAAUGUGAUUUAUCAAUUCCAGGCAGUCGAUUGAGAUGCAAAAAUUGUAAACCUGAAUAUUAUCAGAUAGUUAAUCUGAAUAUCAACACACACACUUCUUCUAUCGAUGAAGGAAACACAGAAUUUAAGUUAUCUAUCUGUUCAAAUAGUCUCUUUUGAUUUAAUUAAUGAAGUAAUAAUAUCAACUUUUAAGCUAUGAUUUAGUACCAUGACAUCAGGAUUCAGUGAUUUGGCUUUUUAGGUGUGUUUGAUCUUUCUAAUUCAAAUCUGCUCAAAUUUCUGCUUUCUAUCAGUUGUUUUAAUUUGAAUUUGUUCUUCAUUUGCGUUUUAGAUAUUUGCCGGAUUGUCUCUCAAAUCUCAGGAUUUAAUUUAGUUAGAGUACAUAUAUAUUGCAUAUUUAAUUAGUAAUUUGCUGAAAUUGAAGUUAGAAUUUUUUAUUAAAAUUUUGGAUUUUUACUCUAAUGCAGAUUAAGCCAGCGAGAAGAUGAAACCAUCUAUUGACCGAUCGCAAAGCUUCAAUUCCUUCAUUUUGUUUAGCAAGAAAUAUGUGAUUGGAGUAUAUUAAUAUUGUAUGUUUUGUUAUGAGACUAAAUUAUUUGUUUUUUGUUUACUAUAGAUGCAGAUCAAACUAAUUGAUGUGAAACUUUAAAUAGAUGUUAUUUUGUACUUGAUUUUGGCAACUAAUUAAUGAUGUAUGAUGUUUUACUUGUAUUUAAAUUUUUUUUGGUGAACAACUGUGUUAGAUAUUGUUAAUUUUUUUGAUUUAUUAUGGAUGUUGAAUGUAAUAGUCGAAAUUUUAUAAAGUUAUCUUUUAUUCUUUGUUUUUUUUACUAUAAUUAUUGUGCUUGAUAUCGUUUGUAUAUGUUAAUACAUGAAUUCCUAUCGAUCUAUAUACAAAAUACUUUUUUACUGGCACCUUUUUUUGUCGGGAUAUUUAAUUACGAAUUAUAAUUUUGUAUUUAUUGCCAGCAUUAUUAAGUGUCACUGAAAAUAGGAAUAGCCGGCAAUUUUGAGUGUCAGAAAAGAUAUUUUUUUCGGCAUUUAUGACUGCCGCUAUAACUUUGCUGGCAAAAAGAAUUGCCGCUGAAAAUAGGAACAGCCGGCAGGUUUGAGUGCCAGAAAAGAUUUUUUUUCGACAUUUAUGAGUGUCGCUAUAAAUUCUUAUAGGUGGCAAUUUAAAGUGCCGGUUUUUAAGCAUUUACUGGUAGUUGACAAGAAGUGCCGGCAAAAGAAUUGCCGACUGACUUUUAAUCGGCACUUUCGAGUGCCACAAAAGUGUGCCGGGAAAAACUUUUGCCGGCACUUCUUAUACCUUCUCCGGCACUUUAAAUUGCCCUUAAAAGGCCCUUUUGGUGUAGUUGCAUGAGGCCGUAAUCUAGUAAUUGCUGCUAAGUCUAAAGGAGUUGGAGUCAUAAUGCCAAAAGAAAAUUGAAGUGUGUUUUAACGCAAAGAUCAAAAGUAAAGGGGGCACUAAUUAAUCAAGAAGGGAUCCGCUGAAUUUUACAUAUAAAAAAGGGAAAGGAAUUCACAAGUGCACAAGAUUUUUCAUAGCCGAAAGUGCAAGCAAUGUAAGGAAGAAGUUAUAUGUCAUUUGUUGCAUGUGGUUUGUCAAAGUCAAAGUACGGUAUAAUGGAGAUAAAGUGACCAAAAUGAUAGUAUCAUAAGGCUCCAGUCAAAAGGAGUAAGAGUCAUAAUGCGAAAAGGAAGGUGAAGAGUACUUAAAGUUAAAAAUCGAAAGUAAAUUAAGGAGGCACCAAUCAAUCAAGAAAGGAUCAGUUAAAAUUUUACAUAUGAAAAAGAUAAAGGAUUUUAUAUAGGCCCAAGACUUUCCACCAAUCAACCUUUUCGGCUAUAACGGGCUGAUACCACUGCAGGUAUUGCUGGUUCGGCAGGAGCCGAGAGCAUAAAGGACAGCCUGCCGAAUCCUAGCAAGAGAAAUCAAGGGGAAGAGAAUGGAGAAAUAUAUUAGCACAAAAGAACUCAAAUAAAUGAAUCCUAGUGUGACGGAUCAAGGGUCGAAAUGAACAUACUAUAUAUAGCAAAAUACUUCUGGAAUAACGUCACUUUAACCGAUCUGGAACCGUUGAUGCAUUCAAAAGGAGAAGCUAUUCAAAGUGUUUGGGUGGUAGGAGGCGAUUUUCGACAAAAAAGUGUGUGGAGAGGAUAAUUUCUGACAACAUUUCUAGAAAAAGAAGAUCACAAGCCUGAGUUGUUGAGAGAAAAAGUAAAGGAUGGAAAUAAUCUUGAACUAAAUCCAUGCCUUUUAUUCAAACAAGGCCAAUUAAUGAGCAGUUACCACACGUCCUCGAUCAGUAUGGCAUGCAGUUGAGACGAAGAGUUGUGCGAGGCAUCUUGUUAGCUUCGUUUCAUCUGCCGAAAUCGACCCUAUCCCACUUUCAGCUAAUAGGUGGGGCAAUUGUUGGCACCAAAAUUCGAUCAUUGAAUCAGAAGAAGCUUAUAUGUAAUCUCCGCGGAUCAUUUCAAAGAGAUUAGUCUAAAUCUUGGGUGCGAAGCUCCAACCAAUGGAUGAAGAAAAAAUGAGUCAUCUCGGUCAUUCGGUAGCAACCAUCUUGGAGAUUUCGGCAUUCGAUCGGGGAUUUCGUGAUUCAAGUGCAACAUAUUAAUUUCAAUGGAGAGUGAGCUAUAAAUAGCAUAGAUGCGAAGGCUUGAGAACGAUUUUCACUAAUAACUCAAUAAACAAAAUUCCUUUUUUGGAUGAAUUUCGUCCUCAGUAAUUUUUUUUUAGUUGAAGGGCCGGUAAUUUAGUAGUUUUUCAUUUUCUAGCCGAGCUAAAACAGGUUCGUAAUGAUAGUAGCAGCAGGUUUCUUUUUCCGAGUAUUUAGACCAUUUUACAAUCUCAUGAUUCUAAUGUCCUUUGUUCCAAGCUGAACGACACUCUGAUUUUUACCAUCCGAGUUAGGUCAGUUCCCAAGAGCCGAAUAUAUAUAUAAUCUGUACACUAGAUAUAUAGGUCAAAGUCUCCAGCGGAGAACAUAGGGCGAAAAGCUUGUAGUUCUGAGUUUUAUAAUUUCCAUUGUAAUAUCAAUAAAACUAGAUUUCUUUUCCACUUUUUCGGCAAACACAACUCAAAUAAGACAAAUUGAACCAAAAUAAAAAAAUACACAUAUUGUUAUGCAUAUUACGUUCCUUUGUACAUUCAUUUUCUAUACUUUAAUUGUUAGAACUAAAACCAAAAAUAUCUAGUUCGUCGGGUGUGAAAAUACUAAAAGAUAAUCGAGAUGAGAGAAGAAAAAUAAAGCAUACAAUAUUUACGUGGUUCGGCCACCGGCCUUUGUCCACGGGCGAAAAUGGAGUGGAGAUCUUCAUUAUAAUCAAAGUGGUGUAGAAAAUAUGACUCUCUCACAAAACCCUAAUCCCAAAAUACACACAUACUCUCUCUUUCAUCUGCGCCACGAAAUCAAUGGAAUAAAGAGUACAUUUAUAAUAGUGGCUAAAUCUUAAUACGAUUAGGAAUACAAAUGCAGUAAGACUAGGAAUAUCUUAAUUAGAUUAGGUAUAAUGUAAACUUAACUUAAUGAGAUAAUCAAACUAUAAUAGGGUUAGAAAACCUUGCGGUUUCAAAAUUCGAGACAUAUCUAACCAUCUCCACCUUGGCUUGAAUUCUCUGUCUUCUCCAUCAAAAUUCCAAAAGCUAAUGAAAUGCUAUUGUACAUGCAAAUAAGUUUACGGAAUACUUGAACUUGAUCGCCUAAAAACUUAAUGAUCAAAUUCGCUGGAUUCUCUGAAGUGUCAAUCUUCUCAUUCUCCAACUACGCCUUUUUGCAAACUCUGUUGCAUCAGAACGAUAACUUGUUAUAGAGCGAAACUUUUGGAGCAAUCAAACUUCUUGAUCUCAAACUUCGUUGAUGCCUUAAACACCCAAACGAACAAUCCGGCUCUGAUACCAGUUUGUUAGAACAAAGGUGGAAGAGAUCUAGUUCGUCAGAUGUGAAAAUACCAAAAGAGAUCAGAGAAAGACAGAAGAAAAAUAAAGUACACAAUAUUUACGUGGUUCGACCACUGGCCUACAUUCUCGGGCGAAGACGGAGCCGAGACUUCCAUUAUAAUCAAAGUAGUGUACAAAAUAUGCCUCUCUCGCAAAAUCCUAAUCCCAAAAAUACACCCAUACUCUCUCUCUCUCAUCUUCCGCACCAAAUAAAUAGAAUGAAGGGUAUAUAGUGAUUAAAUUAUAAUAUGAAUAGGAAUACAAAUCCACUAAGAUUAGGAAUAUCUUAAUUAGAUUAGGCAUAAUCUAAACUUAACUUAAUGGGAUAAUCAAAACAUAAUAGGGUUAGAAAACUUUGCGGUUCUAGAAUUCGAAACAUAUCUAAUAAUCUCUACCUUGGAUUGAAUUCUCUGUCUUCUCCACCAAAAUUCCAAAAUCUCCUGAAGUGCUACUGCACAUGCGAACAAAUUUAUACAAGUUUACGGAAUACUUGAACUUGAUGGCUUCAAAACUUAAUGAGCAAAUCCGCAUGAUUCUCUGAAGUGCCAAUCUUCUCAUUCUCUAACUACGCCUUUUGCAACCUCUGUUGUAUUAGAACGAUAACUUGUCGUAGAGUGAAACUGUUGGAGCGAUCAAACUUCUCGAUCUCAAACUUCGUCGAUGCCUUAAACACCCAAACAAAUAAUCCGGCUCUGAUACUAGUUUGUUAGAACUAAAACUGAAAAAUCUAGUUCGUCGGGUGCGAAAAUACCAAAAGAGAUCCGAAAAUGAGAAAAGAAAAAUAAGGCACACAAUAUUUAGGUGGUUCGGCCACCAGCCUACGUCCACGGGCAAAGACGGAGCGGAGAUCAUAUACGAUUAGGAAUACAAAUCCACUAAGGUUAGGAAUAUCUUAAUUAGAUUAGGCAUAAUCUAAACUUAACUUAAUAGGACAAUCAAAAGGAAAAACUUCAAAAACCCCCCCUGUGGUUUCGCACUUUUUCAUUUUAGUACCAUGUGGUUUAAAGUGUAUCGAGUUAGUACCGUGUCACACUUUCUCAUUUUAGUACCCUAUGGUUUCAAGUGUAUCAAGUUAGUACUCUGUUGUUUUAUUUUUAUAUCAAGUUAGUACUAUGUGGUUUUAUUUUUGUAUCAAGUUAGUACCCUGUGAUUUUAUUUUUCUCCGAAUGAAAUAUUAAACCACAGGGUACUAAAGUGAGAAAGUGUGAAACCACAGGGUACUAACUUGAUACACUUUAAGUCACAGGGUACUAAAGUGAGAAAGUGCGAAACCACAGGAUACUAAUUUGAUACACUUUAAACCACAGAGUACUAAAGUGAGAAAAGUAAAACCACAAGGGGGGUUUUUGAAGUUCUUCCUAAUCAAAAUAGAAUAGAGUUAGAAAACCUUACGGUUCUAGAAUUCGAGAUAUAUCUAACAUUAAUUUUUUAUUGACCAGCCCAUUUUUCGUUUUUAUUAAUGAGACAACAUUCAAUAGCAGCUAGAAACAUUGAUGAUUUUAUGGAAGCAAAUAUCAAAUAUUCUUUUUAAUCAAAAAAUCGUGGGUGCAAUCUCACAUAUAUGUGUUAUUCGAUUAAAAUGUGCAUACAUUAUCGAAUUUGGAUUGAGAAAAAAUGGCUAUUCAUUAAGUAAGAUGAUCACUUGGAUUCUUACAUAAAACAAAAUAAAGCAGUUAAAUUUGAUAAAGUUCAUUUAGGUCCUGUAUGUUUGGGUGCCUGAAUAUCAUAUCCGACAUAUUUACUUUUUUAGAGAGAAAAGUAGCAUGCUACCCAUUUUGUUUAUUUCUUUUAGAAAUAAAUUUAGUUGAAAAUGUGAAUCAAUUAGGAUUCCAAUUAGAAAUCUCAGGUACCAGCCACCAAACCUUUUGCUACUUGUGCCAGGAACAGUCAAUCUCAAGAAGCUAUUAGUACUUCGUAGAUGAGGAGUGUGAUCGAAUGCCUAAAAUGAAUACUGUAAUCUAACUUCAAGUUAUCUUUUCAAAUUAAAUAAGAUCACCUCAUUAAUAAAAUACACUAUCCUACCGAAUCAUAAAUAUCAAGGUUUUUUUUUUAGAGCAAAAUAAAAUUCCUUACUCCCAAUCACACAAAAAAGUUUUAUGUCAAAUAAGUUUUACUUGGAUAACUUACUCCCGCAUUCAAGUGGUUCCAAUUCUAGCUACAACAUGGUCUAAUAUGGUUCGGUCAGCACAUGAUCAUAAAUUCAAAAAUUUUGAUUCAUUUAAAUUUUUUUGCUUAAAACUGAAACAAAUUGAUUAAAUACUCAACAUCACACAUAUAUACUGUGGGCACCUACAAGUUGGAAUAUAUAUAGUAGUGCACAUUAAUUCGCACUGCUAAAUUCAAAUUAAUUACCAGAGCAACCCAACAUACAACUGGUUGUGCCCAUCACUCUGUGUUUCAUCUGGGCUCUGCGCGCGUGAGACAGGUUUUAUUUAAUAUCCAUGGCUGGUUUAGGUACGGAUAAAUUCAACAACUGUAUAUAUCAGUUCUCUUUUUUUUUUUCUUUUGUUUCUCUUGAAAAAAUUUAUUUGACCUGUAAUAAUUGUUAUCUAAAAAAUUUUAGACUCAAAACUAAAGUACAGGUUUCAUGCUGUCACUGCAUAUGCAAGUGCCAAUUUCUCGGAUAUUCGUAUAUAGAUGCUUUACAAAAGAGAUUAUGAGGGCAAAUUGCACCACUAUCCCUUCUUUUUUUUUUUUAUUCUUAUUACUAAAUGUGGCGCCACUAGUCCCUGACCUUUGGCUAUGUUCCAUUUUGGUACUCAAAUUUUUUUAAGUUUGAUAUUUAGCAUUCUAAACUUUUAAAAGUGGUUAAUUUUAGCACCUAUCCAUGUUUACUAUUAGAGCAAAAUUAUUCCCCACAUUCUUAUGUAGCAAUCUUAUGGCAUCCAUUGAGUUAACUUUUCUUAUACCUAUUUAGAAAUUAUACCGUUAAAUUAAAAGUAUUAGAUGAAUGUACAUGUACGUGACAGAUGUAGGAAUGAUGAAUUUGUGGUGUACUCGCGCGAAAGUGAAGCAGGCGCAUUCAAUUUCUUUUCGUCUAACUAAUAAAUGUUUAGGAAUUGAAGUGAAAUAAUUUUAAAAGUUUAGAACAUUAAAUUUCAAAAUUAAAAAGUUUGUGGAGCAAAUAAAAUCAGACUAAAUGCUCAAGGACUAGUACUGCAAUGUACCCAACAUACAUAAUAACUCAAAAUAUCUAUAUUCUAGUAAGAUAUAUAGUUCACAAUUGUUAUAAAACAAUAUACUAUAUAUAUAUAUCAUACAUAGGCUAGAAAUUAUAAAACUAAUACUGUGGGUGAUUAUUGCAAUGUAGAUUAUACUAGCUCUUGCAAAUCGAGACGGUGCUUAACGGGUAACACGAUGAUUAUUAGUUCGAUCAUUCUCGAUGAUCGAUGGAGAGACAAUGAGACAAUUAAAUAAACCAUGGGUUCUAGUUAAAUAUUUGAGAAAUUAAUAAAUGUGUGACUUCUGUGAAGCUCCUUUGCUUUAGAAAUUGUGUUAAUACAGCCUAAGCUCGUGUGCAGAUUAAUCUGAGUGUCAGAGCUUAUGUAUAUAGUUUUAGUUUGGAGCUGGAAAAUUCUCCUGGAACCAUAUGAUAGGUAACAUGCAUAUUUAUUCUUCCUGCUGAACUGCUGAUCUCAUUUCAUGCCACUUUCCUCAAGGGCUUCCAUGCACGUGGCCAUAGUGUCUUUAGAUCUACAUAAAAACAGAUAAUAAUAUUUUUAAUUAGGCGCGUUUCUUAAAGUUAUUGAUCUAUAUUAAUCUGUGAAUUGAUUCGUUGUUCAGUUGCUAGCACAGUUGGAAGAAAUGUUCUGCUAGCUUUUUCCAUAGUUGUACACAUACCGAUCAUGAUUUCUUUUUUCUUUUCUUUUUUUGAGUGUUAUAAUCUUAGGCAUUCAAUAAGAACUGUACAUACGCAUUAACAAAGGAUUCAUUGUCAUAAAAACAUUAUUACUAGUAACUUAAGUUUUCUGGUUGAGAGUCAGCUCCUGUGCAGUAGCAAUAUUAUGGCACUCCCAUUACGUAGACAUGAAAUGAAAUGCAUCUAAUUAUCUAUUAAUGCUUAUGUGAAAUGAAAUGAUUAUAAAUUCUGACAAAGACAAAAUGACCGUGUGGAGCCCCGGGAGUCAUUCAUGAAUGAGAUCCCCCUCUUAAAAGCCCAAUCUGAAGUUAAAAGUAAAAAAUAUCCAAAGAUAUUGAGUGAUAUCUUCUAGGAAGUACUUUGAACAAUAAUAUAUUAAUAUAAGAGAAAUGCUAAGUGGGUGUUUUGCAUAGCUUGGGAAAUUCCGGCCAAAAAUAAAUUUUCUUCUAACUGAGCAUUUGCUAACUUUUAUUUAAAAAUGUAGCUCUAAUUUUUAGUAUUAGUUUUCUAAUAUUAGAGAUCCAAAAUCAGAAUCAGUUAGAACAAAUUUUCUAAAAUCUGAAUCGUUUUUUUUUUACUCAAACUUUAAAUUUUAAUUUUAACUUUAGAUUCAAAUUUUAAAUUUAAGUUUAAAUUUUAAAAUUUAACAUUUAAAACAUAAAAUUAUAAAUUUAAAAUUAUAAAUUUUAUAUUUUUGUUUUAAAUUUUAAAUUUUAAAUUCAAGAUAAAAUUUUAAUAUUGAAAUUUUAAAAAUUCAAAUUUCAAAUUUUUAAAUUUCAAUUGUAAGUUUUAAUUUUUGAAUUUAAAUUUUAAAUUUAAAUUUCAUGUUUAAAAAUUUUAAUUUUAUAUUUUAAGAUUCAAAUUUAAUUUUAAAUUUAAAUUUAAAAAGUGUGAAUUUUGAAUUUUAAAUUAUAUUUUAAAAUUUUUAAAUUUCAAAAAUAUUAAUUUUAAAUUAUAAAAUUUAAAUUCAAAUAUCAAAUGUCAUAUUUUAAAUUUUAAAUUUAGAUUUUAAAUUCGAAUACCAAAUUUAAAAUUUAAAAUUUAAAUUUAAUUUUAAAUUUAAAUUUUAAUUUCGUGCCUUUUUUUUUGAGAGAGAUUUCGUGCCUUGCUUUCCAAAAUAAUAAAAUUUAGUAGAACAGUUUAUUAUUUGGAAAAAAUAAAAAAAAAUUUACUAAAUAGUUUUACAAAAUUAUUUCAGAAAAUUUGCUUUUUAUCUAGUCUUAGCCAAAAACUCUAUAACUUUUAACCAAAAUCAAUUCUCGAACGCAAAAUCAAUUCUACAAAAAUUAAUUCUGCAAAAAUUUUUUCUCCAAAAAUUAGGCUAAAUGGACCCUAAUUAAUAAGUCUACAACCUUAGGAUUUACAAUCUUUACAACUCCCAAUGGACCACAAAAGUUCAUCCAAUUCUUUUAUUUUAAUUAUGUAAAACAACAAAAAAUGAUGAAACCUAAAAUGGGUUGCAUGGGUAAAAUGGGUAGCAGGACUCUUAACUAGUAUAAUCAUUUUUAUUAGAAAAAUUGGUCAAAGACUCCUUAUUUAAUUAAGUUGUACCACUUUAUAACUUGAAGCAGAUUUUCUGAACUUUUAAUUAUAUAUAUAUAUAUAUAUAUAUAUAUAAAGUCAUAAAGCUUCCAAAUGCUUUAAGAAAAAUUAAUUUUUCUAUUCUAAUGCAUGGAAAAGAUAAUAAAAAUCAAAGAUAGUUAACUGUAUAUAUUCUCAAUUUUCAUACUUAAUUAUUAGAACUAGAAAGAAGAAUUAGAUUUCUUUGUACUUUGUAGUUAUGGAAAAUAAUGUGCAAGAGAUGCGACAAAAAUUACUGUUUCAUUAGUAACUUUUGGUGAGGAAAUGAUAUUAUUAACUAUUUGAUAAAGUUUAAUUCAAAAGCCUACUUGCCAAAAACAAAAGUUCAACAGUUUAUUUGCAAAGUUCCUAAAGUUUGAGGGGCCUUUGUACUUCUUUUAUGAAAACAUGUUAGAACAAAUACUGCACAGAAAUUUGAUUGUGAUUAAAAUUCUAACUAAUUUUAUAAUAAAGAUAAAAUCAGACUUACCAAUAAACGCUAAAAUUCAAAUAAAAAUUUGAUUGAUCCGGAAGCGUGCAAGGCACUACCCUAAGACGUAUUUCCGUCCUUACGUGCGGGAUUAACUGAAAAUAACGCCCCAAGGUACGAUCGAAAUUCUUCCUCCUGCGAGAACGAUCGUGAAGAAGGUUGACGGAGACUCUUUCAACACCCGAUGAUAAAAAGAUCAAAUAAAAUAAAAUAAGAAUUUAGAAAACGUUUCUUCUUUUGUUCUUCCACUUAAUUGGCUCUCUCUCUCAGCCAUGUUCAUCAUAGAUGAACAGUGCACUCCAAUGUAUAUAAAAUGGAGAGAGAAUGGAACGUUGGAAUCCUAACGUUCCCAACAUUCCAUUUUAUUCAUGCCUUUAUGUGGCAUAAAGAAGAAAUAAAUUAAAUUUAAUCCAUCUAAUUAAUUAACAUAAUAAAAGACAAUAAAUGAGAAUAAUUAUAAAAUUAAAUGAUAUUUAAAGAUUUUGGAUUUUUCACCAACAAACAAAUCGAAUUUAUUGAGUCUGAUCAAAUUCCAAUACUCAAAAUAGUGAAUAGAAACAAUAAAUGUUAGUCAUUGUUGUAAAUUAACAUCACUAGAUAAUUUUCACACUCAUAGUCCGCAAACUUUUUAGUUUCAGCUUCAUUUGUCCUCAAAACAUUUGCGAUAGAAGAUCUGUUCUUCUAAUCAUUAUCUUAGAGAAAAACUAUUGCCUACGCUUACUACAUGUAUAUUCGUAUAUCGUAAAUUUAUUGCCGCUCAAGAAUCUUAUACUUUUAAUCCACUAACUAUGAAAUUUUUCAAAAAUAUUAUAAUACACAAAGAUAUAAGAUUGAAGUAUAUGAUAGGAUUAAUAAUUAAUAAAUAUGUGGCACAUAAGUGUAGAGCUACUAUACUAUCGAAAGUAUAAGAGAGUUGAUGCUUUUAACUUUUUAGUCCUUAAAUCAAAAAUUGUAAGGACAGAAGAAUAAUGGUCCUCAUAAGAUUGAGUCAUACCCCUUAAUAAAUAUGUGGCUCAUAAAUAUGUCGAUACAACAAAUAAUUAUAUAUUUAAUACUAAUGAAUGAGUAUUAGACCUACGAAAUAGACGGAGUCAUCCCCCUUAGGGCCCGUUUGGUUCGAAUUAUGUAAUAUUACAAAGUAAUUCGACAUAUCCAGGUAUCUUGGAUUUCGGUGUGAGAUUACUAUUGAUGCUGCAUUAGCGCGUUUGGUUUAAUGUAGUAAUGUAUUACUAGAUUACAGUAUUUAUAGCAUUAAUACGUUUGGUUCAGUUUAUAAAAUUUAGUAAUCCUGAUAUAAAAGUAUAGUUUUUUUCAAAAUUGCCCUUGUUGUCAUCAUUUGAAUAUUAUUUUUUAUAGAAAUGACGAAUGGAGGGAAGGAGAUCGUGAUGAUUACCUGGGAGGACGACGCAAUAGAAGAUGAUAGGUGUUCGUGCGAGAGAGAGAAAGAGAGAGAGAGAGAGAGACGUCAGGAGAGAGAGAGAGCGAGAGAAAACGGCGUGCGAGAGAGAGGGGGGAAGGCGAGAGAUAGAUGAAAAUAAUGCUGUUAAUUAGAUUUGGAUUUGUUGGAGGGUAAAAUUGUCACUUUGCAUAAUAUGUAGUAUUAACGGGUUUCAGUAAUGCAAGAUACACGACCCCCAUCCCGUUAAUAUUUUCGAUGUAAUCUUGCUCGAUUUGUAAUGCUACAUUAACGACUAGAUUACAUAGCGAAUUAACCAAACACAGUUAUCCUGGCAUGAUUGUCUGUAAUCCUGCCAGGAUAACUCGAACCAAACGCACCCUAAUAAAUAUGUGGCUCAUAAAUAUGUCGAUACAACAAAUAAUUAUAUAUUUAAUACUAAUGAAUGAGUAUUAGACCUACGAAAUAGACGGAUUAGAUAACGGGCAGAUCAUUGUGCCAGCAGGUCAUAUGGAAAUAGAUAAAAUUUAUUUUUAAAUUUUUGGGUAGCAAACAUUCUUACCCAUACCUGCCCACGGGCCGGCGGGAGGAUAUGCAGGUUACCAGCAAUAUUUAUUUAUUUAAUUUAUUUAUUAUAAUUUAUUUAUUUUACUCCUAUAUUUUCACCCAUACAAAACAUAUACAUACAUAUAUAUAUAUAUAGUAUAUAUAUAUAUAUAUAUUAUAUAUAUAUAUAUAUAAUAUAUAUAUAUAUUAUUAUAUAUAUAUAUGUAUAUAAAUAGAGAGAGAGAAGAGAGAGAGAGAGAGAGAGCUUACUAUUGCUAUGGAAGGUCAACGAGCCUUCGUCUUCCUAGCUCGUUAUCGAUUGUUGCGACUCUCGAAUCGUCGAUCGAUUUCCGCGUUAAACUGAUCUAGAUAUUUAAAGUACCUAGAAAAUAAAAUUUUAUGAUUUUCAUGAUAUCAUGUCCUAGUGAAUGACGGCGGCUCAAAAAUCAACAGCAUGAAAAUAAAAACUCAUAAAAUGUAAUAAUAUGAUCAUUAAAAUUUUAAAUCAAAGAUAUUAUCUUGUUUAUAUAGUAUCAAAGAAUUUUCUAUUAAAAUUACACGUGAUUGGAUAUUUCUACACCGUAAACUUGCAAACGCUCACUACGGCUAUUGAAAUUUUAAUUCUUUGAGGUCCAUUCGAUCACUAGGCAAAUGAUAUCGAAAAAUAAUAAAAUAUUAUUUUCUAGUUUACUUCCAAAUACUAUAAUAAGUUUAACGAGCCUGAUGACAAUUAGAAACGCACAUCGAAAACGACUGGAAGUCACGGAAGCUCCGUGCUUCCGAUACAUAGUACCUCACUAUAUUUUAUAAUAAUAUAUAUAUUAAUACAUAUAUCUAAUAUACUAUUAUGUCGAGUUGAGCCUAGAAUACAUCGUAUAAACGAGCCGUUUACUACGAUUUUUUUUCGAUGAAGAAACUUCCAAAUUGACGAUCGGCUUCGUUAAAUAUAGACUCUAAAACCAUUUAAAACUACUAAAAUCAAUUUUACACGCACUUUCAUAAUUGUUCUUUAUCAAUCAAGUGAACAGAAAAAUGAAUGGAUGAAAAUAAUACAUUUAAAACCAUGAUGAUAGGAAGUUUGGUAAUGGAAACAACAGUAUACGAUCUUUGUUUUAAAUAGUUUAAGAGAUUUUCUAACAAAAAUUCAAAUGAUUUUGGACUAUCUUUAUCCGUUAAAGAGAAACUCAUCUAUCGACCAUUCGAUUAUAAUUUGGAAAACCCUUGAUCAUUAGGGCAUAAUAAAUGUCGAAAAGAAUUUGAAAUUGAAUUUCUAAACACUUCAAGUGUAUAGAUCAUGUCAACCAAAGCCAAUCGUCAAUUUGAAGUAUUAUCAUACGAAAACAAAUACGAAUAGUAAAUACGCUCGUUACUAACCGAUAUACUAUAUAUAUAUAUAUAUUAAUAAUAUAUAUAUAUAUAUAAUAAUAUAAUAUAUAAUAUAAUAUAUAUAUAACUUAUUGUUUGAAACAUCGUAAUAUAUAAAAAUAAUAUAAAUAUUAAAGCGCAUAAAUUAUAUAAUAUAAAAAUAUUUUAUCAUCCCAAAUUUUAAGAUACAAAAAUAAUAAAAUUUUCAUGAUUAUUGGCUCAAUUUGUAAAACGUAUAUAUUCUUUAAUUAAAAAAUAUAUCCGGGUGUCCGUAGGUAUCCGCAGAUUGCCUAAAAUAUUCGCAACUUAAUGAGUAGUCACUUAUUUUAUCCAUAAUUCUUUUAGUAACAAUAACUAGUACUGAUACUGGCAAAUAUGGAAAUACCUUAAAUGGGCACUUGUGGGUACGGAUAAAGAUUGUUAGGUCUAGUAAGUAUAAGGAGUAAAUUGACGAACAAAUGAAGUAAAACUUGGUGCAAUUAAUCCAAUAAAGAUAUUUGGCCAAUUUCCACUAGUUUUGGGCUUUUGUAAAACCGGGCGAUCUUUUUCGUUUUUGCAGAUUCGGUCCGCUUUUUCAGCCACCUACCAAAAUGCUCUUAUUACUUUUUCUCUCUCCUCUUUCUCUCCCCUCUUUUUGUUUUCUCUCAUUCAUUUUUUUUUUCUCUCCCCGAAGAGGCAGCAGAGGCAGAGGCGGAAGCGGAAACAGCCCGUCUCACCUCUCACCCUCAUGCUCUCGCCCUCGCCCUCGCCCUCACCCUCACCAUCGCACCCCUAACUUCCUCACCUCCGACCCCACCGAGGCCGUGCAGCAACUCUUUUUUUUUUCCUCUCCGACUCUUCUUCACCAUCUCCAAUGACGACGCCUCUCUCGCCCUUUCCCGCCCUUCUCGUCCUCUCCCUCUCCCCCCUCCUCUGCCGCCUUCGACGACGAUGCAUCUUCGCCGACACCGAGACCGUAGAGGUCGCUGCAGCAUUGCAGCCUCGGAGCAGGGAUUCUUAGCGGCAUUGUUGCCGGCGCUGCAGAGACGGGUGACAAAAAAAAAUAUAGAAGAAGCAAAAAAAAAAGCCAUUUUGAAAACAGAGUUACGGAAAACGUGCCAUUUUUUUUUUUUUUCAACCUGGCCCACGUGACGUACAGACCCGCCACAAAUACAAAGUUCCUCUGUCCACUCGGACAGAGUCUCCUUUGUAUUUGCACGGCUUACCAACGAUACAACAGGAUCACAACUACAACCUACAAUUACCAAUCAACAACCAAAAUAAUAUGCAUUUUCAUACAGCUAACAAUCCUUAGAGAUGAUGCAUGCCUCUAGGCACUCCUUAGGCGCUGGAUGAUGCAAUGCACAGUACAACAAUCAUCCUAUUUAAAAGUGCUCCCCACACGGAAGCUUUUGUUUUUAAACUCUAAUUCAUUCAUUCAUAAAAACCAUUCGAAAACCUUUUUAAAACUGUUUCCCACACGGAAACUCUAUUUUGAAAACCAGCUACCUCGAGGGGUAGAAAUCCACAAAGCGUAUAAAUCCAAUCUGAAACCAAGGAUCCAAAACCACAUAUCUGAAAACUCCAAUCUCAUGUAUAAUAAAACAUCCAUAAUCUCAUGCAUACGAGGAAAACCAACUCAUUCAAACAAUCAUAAGAUCAUCUAAUCAUGCAUAACGGAAAUCACAACAUUCAAACAUCUAACUGAACCAUUUAUUUAAAUGACUACUAAAGGCGGGAAAGAAAUACAACCAGGGUGGCGAUCGCUAUACCAGACUAGCUAGAUCGUCCUCUCGUCGAGCCCAAAAUCCAACUCCUCGUCUAUGUCACCUGGGGGGGAAAUGGGGGGUGAGAAACCGCAACCAUGGUUUUCUCAGUGGGUACGACAGAGCCACGAAGGCAAGCCGUAAUCACCGGAAACCAAAGGAGAUAGAUAAACAAACAUAGAUACUGAUAUAUGAAAACGAACUACAGUAGCUACAACAGAUAAAUAAGAAGCAAUAAACAAACCUGCUACUGUAUAGAUAACAAUGCAAAGAAUGCCUCAAAGUACUGAAUAGAAACUGUACCCAAUCUGUGCCUGCUGUAUUGGUCCGCAGACCUCAAGCGCUGCCUGUCACUAACUGCACCGACCUGAUCCAUCCGCCCCGCAGGACGACCUAUCCGGAUAAGUACACCUCCGAUCGGUGGCCAAACCGAUCCGGUGUCAUGAAUACCCCCAAGUGCCGUGACUAAGUCAUGCUGGUAUGCUCAAACAAAAACAAACCCGGCUAAAGCCGGUGCCUAGGCCGAAGCCAACAACGAGGGCGUACAAUGCCAAACUGAAAUAGAAGCUAGGGCGUACAACGCCGAACCUCGAUCAACCAGAUCGAAACACACGACAAGAGAGUCGAUGUGUUGCCUGGACCCAAGGUCCACAGAGAUACUGAAAUACAAAUGCAACCUGCUCUACAUGUCUAUCAAUCACUAACCAAUGCAGUCAACGAAAUACGAUAACCAAACGAUAACCAAACAACUGACAUGUAGAGCUAAUAUACUGGAAUAGAAAAACAGGAGAAGGAGGUGAAACGCUCUCACCGACUACCAGCUCGAAGCACCCACCUGUCACUGUCGCGUCGGAACACUGGGUACGCACAAGUCGACCGGACCUACGAAGAUCCAACGGGUCAGUAACCAACCCACUCACCUGAAGUACACUAUCUCACAAACCCCCACACAGAUCCUCGAAUCGGUUUCCCAAAACCGAUCAUCGUAACUCACCGGAAGUCCCGAAAACCACACUGGGACGUCAUCGGGACCCACUAAGUAUCUCGAACUCACCGCCUCGUGCCACGAGUCACCCGCUGCCCCAAAGCACUCCAAUUUGGAUGCCUUGGCAGCGAACACGAGGUAACACAACCAUACGAUCAUUGCCAGAUAAUCGUACGAAUCCGGGUUCCCGGAAGUGUCUAUUUCGACACCGGAACACACCGUCGCUCACCCAUCAUCAUCGAACCCACAAAAUGAUGAUGGUGACCAGCCAACAAGGCUCAGCGACAAAACACGAAGCAACCAAACACCGUCGGAAAGAAUCCGAACUGAACCCGCGUUCUUUCGGCGAAUUUCGCCGAAAAACGCACCGAAAUCGACCUACCGAUUUUCGCGAAAGCUAACGGACUAUGGACAAUCAGUCCAGUGGUCAAACACACUUACACACGCUGCCCACAGUAGCCACACAAAGCACAACUGCAUAAAAGACCCUCUAAUUACAUAAAAUCUCAUCAUUUUAUGUAAUUUGAGCGAUCAAGCUGCUUGUUCACGUAAACCGAGGACUUCCGAAGUACGCAGAGACACGUACUGACAGGUCUCGACGUACCGGAGUCCGUGCUCACGAUCCGGAGCACAGCGGCUCGCUGUGGGAAGCGCGGGAGCAACCCGAAGGUUCAGCGAAUAGCGCGCAGUCAGGGAAGAUCGCGCCGAACAGAACUAACCGGACACUGUUGAUCCAAAGUGAGGUGAGCACUGUGAUCAGCACUGACCAACGAUCACCGUGCUCACCUCCGGAGGCAUCAGGACAGCCUCGGAUCGCCGGAUAAGCGUGCGCAAACCCAAAACAGCAGCCAAACAGGCUGAAACGGAGCGACAACGCCAAAACAGUGGAACGGAGUCUCCCCGACAGAAACUAAGGUGAGCACGAUGAUCAGCAACUUGCCAGGAUCAUCGUGCUCCCUUCCGUACAGAUCGGGGAGGCUCGGGAAGCCCAGAACGAGAAACCCACUCAAUAAGCUCCAUUUCGGGCUUGGCCGGAGCAACCUUGCUCCGGCCGGCCUCCGGCGGCACGACGGCGUGCGCGGGGCCCUGAGUCGGGUGAGGGGGAGGUGAGGAACACCGUGCUCACCUCAGGUGGCGGCUGGAAGCGGCGGCGGCGGCGGCGGAGCAAACCGAGCCCGCACGAGAUCGAGCUCGGGUUCCAGGAGUUGCUGCGGCCACGGCGGCGGCCGGGGAGCUCCGGGACGGCGGAGGCGGGCUACAGGAGGUCGGGGGAGUUACCCCGGGGUGGCCCAAGGUGGCGGCGGCGCUGGGAAGAGGUCGCACAUGAGAUCGGCCUGGGCUCGGGCUGGGGUGGCCGCGGCUGGCCGAGGCGGCGACGGCGGCGCGCCGGGGCGGCGGCGACCGGCAGGAAGGGGCGCCCGGGCACGGAGGGUGUCGGCGGGAGGGAUUCCAGGCGGCGGCGGCGCAGGAGGGAGGUCGCAAAGUGGUCUCGGCCAGGGCUCGGCCUGGGCUGGCAGAUGCGGCCCGGGGUGGCAGCGGCGGCGCAGGCGACGGCGGCGGUCGGCGGGGAUGAUCGCCGGAGCACGGGGCGACACCGAGGGAGGGUCCGAAGGUGGCGGCAGUCUCGGGUCUCCUCACAACCCGAGAGGAGAGAGGGAGAGAGAAAGAGAGGGAGAGAGAGAGAAGUGGUGGCUGCGGCGGCGGUUGGCCGGCCGGGGCUCAGUCGGCGGCGGCCUGGGCGCGCGCAGCAGGUGCAGGGGAAGGAGAGGGAGGCGUCUGGGUGGUUGGCUAGGGCUAGGUUAGGGUUAGGUGAAACAAAACCCUAAAGAGCAACUAUAUACGGGGAGCAACAAAGCGAGAAAGCCCCUCAAACAUCGGAAUUUCAAUCCGAGUCCCUCACAGUACGACUAAAACGCAUGAACGCCCCUCCACGUGCGAUCCCUCGCGAAACGGUACAUAAAAUAUCGCGACUUUUGCGAAAAUACCGUUUUGCCACUACCGACCUCUCCUCGAUCAACGCGCGAUCUCCGCAGAUUCGUCCGUCAGAUUUGCGAACGGAUUGCACCAGUGCGAUCAGCACGACGGAGACAACAAAGCUGCAAUUUCGUUUCGUCUUGAUCGACCACGGAUUCACGACAAAAUCCAACCUUCUUCGAAUAGAAGGAAACACACACAUAAAUACAUAUAAAACAUGUAUUUUUGGAUUUUCUCGAAAUCCGUGCGUCAAACUCAAAAUUCGUUAGCGUCAUUGGUUCCAGAACAGCUGACCCGAUCGAAACGAGCUAUUGGACUGCUAUAAACAGAGUCCGGUACGAGUCAGAAGCCAACUUCUCACCGUGGCUUCUCCGGAAAAUCGAGUUACUAUUCACUUUAAGUGAAACUUGGAAAUCGCGUAGAAUUUCCGUUUUAACUCGUUUUCGCCCGAAACUUGACGAGUGCUUUUGUAAUUAAAUUACACACAGAAACAUCGUCAACUGAGAGUUUAGCUACACUGCAAAAAUAUCAGUCCUUACAGUUUUACAAGAACGUUGUACUAUUAAGAUGUAAACUGCAGCUUUAAGAUGAAAAUUGCACUCUUUAAACGAAAAUUACACUCUUUGGGAGAUAUUUAUACUGUUUCUUCUCUUAUUGCACUUUUUUAGAUAUAAACUGUAUCCAUUAAGAUGAAAGUUAUAUUCUUUAAACGAAAGUUGCACUCUUUGAGAAAUAUUUAUACUGUUUCUUUUCUUCUUGCACUCUUUGAGAUGUAAAAUGCAUCCCUUUAAGAGAUAUUUUUACUGUUUUUACUCUUGUUAUACUGUUUUUCCUCUUGUUGCACUACUUUCCUCUUAUUACACUAUUUCUCUUCUUAAAGGGUGCAGUUUAAGAGGAAAAACAGUGUAAUAAGAGAAAAAAUAGUGCAACAAGAGGAGAAACAAUGCAACAAGAGGAGAAACAGUAUAAAUAUCUCUUAAAGGGGUGCAGUUCACAUCUCAAAGAGUGCAACAAGAGGAGAAACCGUGUAAAUAUCUCUCAAAGAGUGUAACUUUCGUUUAAAGAGUGUAACUUUCAUCUUAAUGUAUGCAGUUUACAUCUUAAAGAGUGUAAUAAGAGGAGAAACAGUGUAAAUAUCUCUCAAAGAGUGUAAUUUUUAUUUAAAGAGUGUAAUUUCUAUCUUAAAGUUGUAGUUUGCAUCUUAAGUAGUACAACAUAUGUCCAUAAUAGUGCAAUAUUUUUUUAAAAUAGUAUAUAUUUUUUUCAACGGUGCAAUUUCAUCUUCAUCUUUCUUUUUCUAUAAUUUUUUUCUUUAUUUUUUUUUCUUGCUUCUUCUAUAAUUUUUUUUUUGUCACCCCUCUCUACCAACGGCCACUGCGUCGAUGAUGACGCCGCUAAGGACUCCCCACUCCGAGACUACAGCGCCGUAGCGACCUCCACGGUGUUGGCGUCGACGAAGAUGCGUCGUCGUCGGAGGCGACAGAGGAGGAGGGAGAGGGAGAGGAUAAGAAGGGCGGGGAAGGGCGAGAGAGACGUCGUUGUCGGAGACGGUGGAGGAGAGUCAGAGAGGAAAAAAAAAAAAGAAAAAAAAGAGUCACGGUGCAGCCUCGGUGGGGUCGGAGGCGAGGAAGGUGGGGGGUGCGAGGGCAAGGGCAAGGGCAAGGGCAAGGGCGAGGGCGAGAGCAUGAGGGUGAGAGGCGAGGCGGGCCAUUUCCGCCUCCGCCUCUGCCUCCGUUGCUUUCUUCGGCGAGAGGAAAAGAAAUGAACAAGGGAAAAGAAGAGGAGAGAGAAAGAGGAGAGGGAAAAAGUAAUAAGAAUAUUUUGGUCAGUUUGCUGAAAAAGCGGACUGAAUCUGCCAAAACGAAAAAGGUGGCCCGGUUUUACAAAAACUCAAAACUAGUGGAUUUUUUAUCCAAAUUGGCCAAGAUAUUUAGACUUUGUAGCUUAUAGUUAUUAAAAUGGUGGUCUAAUUAUAAAACAAGAAUAUAUGACUCAUCUGAGAUUCAAAACCAACCACACAAAAAGCUGUUAAUUGGCGCCAACCCCUCACUGAUCUCUUCAUCCUCACAUGAUCAAUCUUAGUCAACUCUAAAACUUUGACUUCCCUCGCAAUUCCCCCAAUGGAGGAGGCUAAUAAUCCCUUGUCUUAUCCAUCAUAUUAUCCUAUUCGCAAAACCCUGAUCCCAAGAUCCAGAACUAUCCCAUUCCCCCUCUCCCUCAGCUAAUUAUUCCCUUCACAUGCCCCUUCUAUUCCCCCACCCCCUCCUCCUAUUCGCAAUUCCCCGAAUGAUAUAGCAUGCGCCUGGUGUACUUGUACACCCCAUUAUACUAUGCCUCUUAAAUUGUGCCUCUUGAAUCUCACUACUAUGGCCUCGAAUUUAUAACCUAAUAACUCAGUAAAUGCAUGUAUUCGAUAUUAUUCAAAAAAAAUAAACACUCAUUGAGGUACACUUGUGGGUACCAAAAUUAAUUUUGCAUACAAGAUGAACUUACUGUUUAUUACUUUGGCUGACAUUUUGUACAUAAAAAAUCUAAUCAUAUUUACUCUUUGGCUGACAUUUUAUACAUAAAAAAUAUAAUCAUAGUUACACCAUUUAUUUCUGUGACUAAACUUUAAAUACCACAAAUAUGAUUUCAUAUUUUCUCACUUUAGCAUUCUGUGGUUUAAAGUGUAUCAAUUUAGUACCAUAUGGUUUCAUUUCUCACUUUUUAUCGGCACUUUCAUUAAUUUUUUGUUAAAUCAUAUACAAAAGAUUUCAGAUAUCCCGUCUAUAGUUUAUCGAAUAUUCACUUUAGUACUCUUUAGUUUUAACUUUGCCACUGAUUUAACGAAAAAAUUAAUAGAGAGAAUAACAAAAAGAAAAAAAUAAAACUAUAGAGUACGGAAAUAAUACACUUUAAAUUAAAGUAUACUAAAAUGAGAAAGUGCGAAAGCACGUAGGCGGUAUUUGAAGUUUUUUCUAAUUUUUAUUUAUAGAUAUCAAGAAACAAAACUAAUAUUAUCAAAAUAAUAUAUAUUGUGGAAGAAAGGAAAAGAGUUUAAUAAAUGUAUUUUUGUUGACAACAUCAAAACUAGCAAGAGCAAUACCAACUCUCGUUUAAAAAUGAUUUGUCACGCCCCGGAUUACAUAUUUUCCGGGGCACGCCAACAGACCCGUCAUAUACAUAGAAAUUUUUCUUGUAUAUGAAACGAUAGCUGUACCUGUAAACAAAUUCAAGCUACAACCAUAAAGUAAAGAGUUGCUAAAUAGAAAAGUAAUAUAUAACCUCAAGGUUUCCAAUAUAUACAAAAUGUCUACUACACCACUCGCUCCAGCGAGUACCCAGACAAAAAGACCAUACGUACAAAAACCCCAAAACUACCUGUGGGAGGUACUUCUCUAGCACUGCAGCAAGACUGGAAGGGACUUAGCUCGCGACUCUUUUUCCACGAUCCAAAACAGCAACAGCAGCAGCCGAGGACGAAGGCUCUGCAAAAAAGGGGUCAACAACUAGGUACGAGAAAUACUGUAAGAAGGAGUAGUCCUCAGGGGGUGCUGCUACUAACCUCAACGGCUCACCCACUAAGUAUACAGAAAAAUAUGCACAAAGAUAGUAAAGAAAACUGAAAAAACUCUACAACUAUAUGCCACUAUACUAUCGCUACCCACUAUUCUGGAGAUAUAAGAAUGAUGCAACCUCUGACCCAAUCUCAUUAGGGACUGUGAACGCACCCGUCCCGCCUGUCGAAGCUACACCAACCACCACCACGCUGGGUAAUUGGUGAAGAGCAAGUCCAUACUGGACACUACGACAUCUACGCAAACGCACAAAGCCCGACUCCGGAGUGGCACUCAUGGGCGCUAUCCAACCGAGUAUGCAAGCGUGUCUCUGUUGAGCUCAAUUAGGCUCUCACAGACUAUAGUCAAAGAAAAUGGGUCUAACUGGUCUAAUAACCAAAACUUACGUGUGCUUGACACAAUCCGAUGCAAAAAUAGCAAACUGGAUCCACCGUCAACAGCGACGGCACCCGACAGUCCAGAACAGUCUAUACACUACUGUAAAAUAAAUUCGACAUCCCACCACGAGCGUAAACUUAUCAUACACUAAUCUGGAUAUCCACCGCAUACAAACUGCGACGAUUCAAACAAACUACAGUUCCUAAAGCUAAAUCUGAUAGUUUUAAGAAAAUGACAGUGUAGGAUCAUCUGUUUUCUCCUAAGUCAAUUUCAAGUCCAACAUGUAAAAUUAAACUGCUAGCUUAACUCUAAAUUCAGAUGUAAACACUAAUUCAUAAAUUUGAGUACUAGCAAGAAAAAUAGACGAAUGAUACAUGUCGACAAAUAUUAAAACUUAGAAGAUAUUCCGACAAUUUCGGUAAACUUCAACCCACCUCGAAACGCUCGUCCAACAACGGCGAGAAGUCGAAAGGAGAGGAAAACACGCGCUCGCCCAGCCUCCAACGACGCAACCGCGACGCACGCACGCUCGAACGGCCCUCCGGAUCGACGUCGAAAAUCUCGUGAGCUCGAGCUACGGCCUCCACCAAGCCUACGAUUAAACCAAAGAGAGAGAGGAACUUGAGAUAAUUAAUUAUCUCAGGUGGAUAUAUAUGAAGGAGUAGGUGGUGUGGAUAACCACCAGCAAAUGAUAAUACUACCCCCCACCAACUCCAAAUCACAGCUGGAGUACCGGUAUCCGAUUUGGUUACCGGUACUCGGCCUCUCAACCCGUAAGCUCGCGCACAGGGUACCGGUACUAGCCCGAUGUCGUACCGGUACUCAGCAUCAAAUUGGCACAAUCCAAGGGCAUCAGUUCUGAAAAUACACUGGUGUACCGGUACUCCCCUGUAUGGUACCGGUAUUCAACACUGAAAUCCUAUACUUUAUGGAUUUUAGCAUCAGAACUCCACUCUCGUCUUGCGUCGAGUCCGUUUUGCAUCCAUUUCGCGCCAAAACGACUCCGACUUGUCCCGACACUCUCCAGAUGUGUCGACAAGCCUCAGAUGCUGAAAUCUCAUGGCAACUAAAUACCAGGGAUACUACAUGAUUAAAUUACAACUAUGGCAUAAUCUUUGAUAUUAAAAUAUGAAAAAUGCUUCUUAUACAUUCAAAUUAAAAAAUGAGCGUAGAUCUUACACCCUCUAUUACAUGGUUGAUAAAAGUUUUUAAUAAAAAUAAAGAAUUUAUUGGGCAAGUUUGCAUAAAAAGUUCACAAAUUUUGAGUUUUUACAAAAUUGUACCACCUUUUUUUAAUUUUGUAAAUUCGAUCGGAAUUUUCAGCAGACUGACCAAAAUAUCCUUAUAUUUUUUUUUCUCCUUUUCUUUUCCCGCAUUCUUUUUUUUUUCUUUCCGAAGAAGGCGGCGUUGGCGGAGGCGGAAACGGCCCGCCUCACCUCUGCCCCUCGGGCCCACGUCCUCACCCGCGCACCCCUCUCCCUUCUGGCCUCCGAUCCCGAUGAUGACGCGCCGCAACCCUCUUUUUUUUUCUCUCCGACCCUUCCCCACCGCCUUCGCGGCCCUCUGCGACGAUACUGAGGAUGGUUCCGCAUCCUCUUCCUCCGCCUUCGCCUCCACCUCUACCCCCACUACAGCAGAUUUUCUACCCACCAAACAAACCCGCCGUCUCCAUCGUCACCUCCGGCGACGAAGAGAAAGUUUUCUCAGGGAUGAGAAGCAUGCUGGUGAGGCAUGAGGAGAAAAAAAGCUACACUUCGGCGAGGACGGUGGCUACAAUAGAGGGCAAGGAAGAGAUCAUGACCAAAAAAAUUAUAAAGAGAAAAAAAUAAGAAUAAAAAAUAAAAAAAAAAUAUUUUUUCUAUAGAAAAAUUCAAAAAUUAUAGAAGAAGAAAGAAAACGAUGAAAUUGUACUGUUAAAAUAAAGUUUAUUUUUUUUACACUGUAUUAAAUAAAAACUGCACUCUUUGAGACAAAUUAUACUAUUGGGAUGAGAGUUACACUCUUUAGGCGAAAGUUGCACUCUUUGGGUGAAAUUUAUACCAUUUUUCUUUCUGUUUUUCUUCCUCCUCCUCCUUUCCCUCCGGUGCCUCCUCUUCCUCCUCGUCCACAGCCUUUGAUCAGCAACAACAACAGAAGCGGUAGCGCAUCUGUGACCUCCUCGCUGAACUCAAGGCCGAGCACCGCGCCUGUCGCUCCGCCCAGGACGCUUGUGUUGACUCCGAGUCUCGCCUCCACCGUCUCAAGGCCUUCGCCCAGGACAUCAUCAAGAAGUGCGACGAUGCCCUCUGCUCCGCCGCCGCCGCCAAGGAGCUCGACGACGCCACCGCGAAGCUCGCCGAGGCCUCCGUCGGCGGCUACACCCUCGAGUCCGAGAUCUCUACCGCCUCCUAGAUGAUUGAUAUAAUUAUUUGCUUAAUUUAAAUCAUUUUAAAGUAAAUAUUGAUUAAAAUUUAAACCAAUUUGAUACUAAUCUUGUGCUCGACUAUAUAUGCAUCAUCAUGGACUGCAGAAUACUUGCUCAACUAUACCCAGCCAUAAUAAUACUAUAAAUAAGCUACCAGCAAGGAAGCAACCAUCGUCCUAGGCGAAGGCCUUGAGGUGGCGGAGGCAGGAGUCGGAGUUGGCACAGGUAUCCUCGAAGGAGUGGUGGGCGCGGCGCUUGGCCUCGAGUUUGGCGAGGAGGUUCCGAAUGCAUUGCUGCUGCUGUUGCUAAUCAGAGGCUGCGGAGGAGGAGGAAUAGGAGGCGGUAGAGUGGAAGGAGGAGGAGGAAGAAGAAGAGAAAGAAAAAUAAUGUAAAUUUCACCCAAGAGUCAACUUUUGCCUAGCUAAGAGUGUAACUCUCAUUCUAAAGAGUAUAAUUUCUCUUUCAAAGAGUGUAAUUUUUAGUCAAAACAAUACAAUUUUUUUUUAAAAUAGUGUAACUUUAUUUUAAUAGUGCAAUUUUAUUUUUUUCUUUCUUCUUUUAUAAUUUUUGGUCUUUCCUGUAGGAAAAAAAUAUUUUUUUAUUCUUAUUUUUCUCUGUCUAUAAUUUUUUUUACGUCACGACCUCUCCCUUGCUCUCUAUCGCAAUCACCACCCUUGCUGUAGUAUAACUAUUUUUUUCUCCCUUCCUCGUCGGCGUGCUUCUUAAACCCGAGAAGCACUUCCUCUUCCUUACUGGCGGCGGUGGUGGGGACGGGGGGUUUGUUCGGCGGAUAGAAAAUCUACUAUAGUGAAGGUGGAGGGCGAAGGUGGAGGAAGAGGAUGCGGUACUGUCUUCGCUAUAGUCGCGGAGGGCCGUGGAGGCAGUGGAGUGUAGGAUAGAAAAAAAAAAAAAAAANUGCAAUUUUAUCUUUUUCUUUCUUCUUUUAUAAUUUUUGGUCUUUCCUGUAGGAAAAAAAUAUUUUUUUAUUCUUAUUUUUCUCUGUCUAUAAUUUUUUUUACGUCACGACCUCUCCCUUGCUCUCUAUCGCAAUCACCACCCUUGCGGUAGUAUAACUAUUGUUUUCUCCCUUCCUCGUCGGCGUGCUUCUUAGCCUCGAGAAGCACUUCCUCUUCGCUACUGGCGGCGGUGGUGGGGACGGGGGGUUUGUUCGGCGGAUAGAAAAUCUACUGUAGUGGAGGUGGAGGGCGAAGGUGGAGGAAGAGGAUGCGGUAACGUCUUCGCUAUAGUCGCGGAGGGCCGUGGAGGUAGUGGAGGAGUGUAGGAUAGAAAAAAAAAAAAGAGGGUCACGGCGCGGCCUCGACGUGGUCAUAGGCGAGGAGGGAGGGGGGCGCGCGGGCAAGGGCAAGAGCGUGAGGGGCAGAGGCGAGGCAGGCUGUUUCCUCCUCCACCUUGGCCGCCUUCUUCGAAGGGAAAAAAAAAAAAGCAAGAAAAAAAAGGAGAGAGAAAAAAGUAUAAGGGUAUUUUGGUCAGUUUGUUGAAAAUUCAGACCGAAUCUACAAAAUAAAAAAAGACAGUCUAGUUUUAUAAAAAUUCAAAACUUGUGGACUUUUUAUGCAAAUUGGCCAAUUUAUUGUGACAAGUAAAGUGUUUAUGACCUUGAAAUAGAAUCAAUGUAAGAAAUAUACACUACUUCACCGUAUACCGUAGCAUUGCUGUUAAAAUAUUAAUCAUCGAAUACUGGGUGCAGUGCAUGAGGCGCAUGUAUACACUUGGCGCAUGCAACAACUUCUCCGACCCCUCCCCCUCCCUUUCAUUUCCUUCAUUUAAAGCCUCGCAUCCUCACAUGCCCAUUUAUACCACCACCCCACUCCUUACUCUCCCCCCCACACUCCUCCUCACUUACAAGUCAAUACCCCACCUCCCCUUUCUCUCUCUCUCUCUCUCUCUCUCUCUCUCUCACACACACACACCUCUAUAUCUCUCUCUCACACUAGCUAGAAAGAUGGCGUCUACAAGGCGAAGCGGCUUCGGUCUCCGCCAGCCGGUGGUCGUCGACGUCGGGUGCAGCUGCCGGAGGCCGAAGAAGCUCUCCUCUCUCUUCUCCUCCUUCUCAAUCUCCCACUCCAAACCCAAGAACGCCUCCACCUCCUCCUCGUCCCCCGCCACCACCAUGAACACCACCACCACCACCACCACCACCACCACCACCACCGCCGCCGCCGCCUCCACCGCCUCCACCUGGGACGCCUCCUUCACCACCACCAACUCCCUCUACGAGGAGGAGGAGGAGGAGGAGUACCACCACUCCCCACAUCACCCCAUCCUCAACGAAGGGAGGAGACCCUCCGGAGCGAACAAUGGCGGGCGCAGGAGGAAGGGGGGGAGGAGGAGGAGGAGGAAGGGGCAGGGGAGGGUGGAGAGGGAGAGCGUGGCCGUGGCGGUGGAGACGGAGGAGCCGUACGAGGACUUCAAGGAGUCGAUGGUGAGGAUGGUGGUGGAGAACGAGAUCUACGCCUGGGAUGAUCUCAACGACCUCCUCCACCGCUUCCUCUCCCUCAACUCCCCCCGACACCACUCCCUCAUCCUCCGCGCCUUCGCCGACCUCUGGACCGGCCUCUUCUCCCCUCCCUCCCCCUGCCUCUAGAACUUAUAUUACAUAUUUCGCCAUGCCCAGAUCGAAGCACCUGCUUUUAUACUUUGUAAGCCCCAUAACAAUUAAUUAAUUCCCUCCCACCGAAUUAGAAGAAUAUAUAUCUUUAUAUAUAUAUAUAUAUACAAUCAAAGUAUAAAAUUUGGUGCUUUUUAUGCCGCAAUUCAAAAUUAGCUUAACAGUGGUAGUGCUUACUUAGUGUGCUUGAUAGGAUGUUAGGAUAGUUGUGUUUGGUGAAAAAAAUGUAGCGAGAGACCCUCUUGAGUAUUGGCCAUUUUAAAUCACGGCUUGUGCUUCACGAAUCAAUUAGAGCAGUUGGUCGGUAUUUUUAAUUUUCGACUAUAGAUUCAGAGUGUGUGCUUGUUGUCCAAUCUUAAAUGGCCAUAAUUCCGCCAAAUUUAACUAUAUAUAUAUAUAUAUAUAUAUAUUAUGAACACCGCUCAAUCUCGCCAUUUUUUUUUUUCCUUUUCCUUUGGAUAAAGAACCUGUUUUAAAAUGGCCAAUAGGUGAGGGGGUCUCAGUACAUUUUCUCACUUUAGGAUUUUAGCAUUGAUGAUACUGUAGGGGAUCAUACGGUGGAGAUCAUUGACAAGGUGAUGUAAUGAUGUUGUGUGUGUGAGUGUGAAAGUGUGAAUGCGUCUGUGUAGGAGAGUGGUGUUGGUGUGCGUGUGUUUUAUGAUGGGUGCGUGCUUUUGCUAAAACGGGCGCUGACUAGAAUUUACUGCGUUUGCUUUGCCUUGUAGCUUUCCCUGAUAUCUAUGUACUGGUACGUAGCUAACUAUUUCUUAUAUAUGGAAAAAGACAAAAAAAAAAAAAAAUUGUUACAUAUGUUUCUCUUAUUUUCUCGUGAUAGAUAUUUUGUCCCUGUUCCCAUUAUGUCUUGUUGUAAUUUUUUUCUUUCUAAAAUUUCAUCUAAUUAAUAUAACUUGCUAUAAAAGAAAGUUAGGUGCCAUUGUAUCAUUUAUUAUUCAUGCAGCUUUGAGAUUGUUAGACAUUGUUCUCUACCAAUUUGAACGCAUUAGGAUUUUUUCUUUUUUUUCUAUUCUUGAACUUUUUAAGUCCGACAUCAAAAUUCUACACUUAUAAAAUAUUUUAUUUCAAUUACUAAACUGUGAAUAAUGUUUUGUUUCAACUCUUAUUUCUGCAUAAUGUUUUUUUUUCCGUUGUACCUAACUUCACCUAUACAUUUAUACAUAUCAAGUUCAUGUACACCCCCUAUCAAUCUCAAGUUGGGAGAUAACAAUUUUUAAAGGGAGAACAUAACAAUUGCUGACACAAUGAGUUAUAAUUAGAUUAGUAUAAAGAGUUAAUACUAAAAUAUAUAUGAAUAUAUAGAAAUAAUAUUAAUAAGAUAUUAAUUUAUGGGAAAUUUUAUCCUCUGCUAAAAUUGUAAAUAUUGUAAACCUAGCAAAGUUGAAAUAAUAUCAUAAUAUAUUAAUAAUUAAUUAUAUAUAUAAUAUAUAUAUAUAUAUAUAUAUAUAUAUAUAUUAAUAUAUAUAUAUAUAUAUAAGUUGGACUGAGCUACAUAUUAGUACGAAAAUCUCACUGUUGAUUAUCGUUUUUAGCCUUUGAUCAACCUUUUCAUUAUUUCUUAACCUGAUUAAAUAAUAUAUAUCGCAGUUGGACACUUCACCUAUGGCGGACACUCAACUUAACCGAUAAUAUAUCUCUGACUUACAAUUUUCAUUCAUGUUACAAUUUGAUAGAAAAAAGCGUUUACAUAUACUACAUAUUAUUAUAUAUAAUGUAUGUAUAAUAUGUAUCAUUAACUAAUUUAUGUAAUAUAUAUAGUAUAUUAUUAUAUAUAUUAUGUAUAUAUAUAUAAUAUGAUGUAUAAUAUGUAUGUAUAUAUAUAGUCUAGUAAUAAUAUAUGUAUAAUAUAUAUAUAGUAUGUAGUAUAUAUAUAUAUAUUUAUUAUAUAUGUAUAUAUACUAUAUAUAUGAUUGUAUAUUAUAUAUAUAUAUGAAUAUAUAUCAUAUGUAUGUAUGUAUAUAUAGUAUUAGUGUAUUAUAUUUAUGUAUGUAUGUAUAUAUAAUAUUAUGUAUGUAUAUUAUAUAUACAUACAUACAUACAUAUAUAUAUAUAUACAUACAUACAUAUAUAUAUAUAUAUAUGUAUAUAUAUAUGUAUACAUAUAUAUAUGUAUAUAUGUAUGUAUAUAUAUAUAUAUGUAUGUAUAUAUAUAUAUAUAUGUAUAUAUAUAUAUACCGAGCAAGGCUGCUGUGCUCUUAGGAGCACGGAGGUCUCCGUGCUCCUGAGCCAUUUUCGAUGAUGGAAUUUUCGAAUCGACGAUUGGCUCCGUUAGACUUGAUCUAGCGUUUUUGAAGUUUCUAGAAAAUAAUUUUUGCGAUUUUUUGAUAUCAUUUAUCUAGUGAUCGAAAGAAUUCAAAAUCAAUAAUUUUUAAUGGUUAAUAUCUGCCAUUUUCAAGUUUAACAGUAUUGAAAAAUUCAAAUUAGAUGAAAUUUUGAUACAAAUUCUUUAUACUAUUUACAACAAGAUCAAUAUUUCUGAUCGAAAAUUUUAGUACUAUAUCACCACUUUUUAUAGGAUUUUUAUUUUCAGUCGUUAAAAAUUAUUGAUUUUGAAUGCUUUCGAUUGCUAGGAAAAUGAUAUCGAAAAAUCGCAAAAAUUAUUUUCUAGUAACUUCAAAUACGCUAGAUCAAAUUUAACGGAGCCGAUCGUCGAUUCGCAAAUUCCAUCACCGAAAACGACUCAGGAGCACGGAGGCCACCGUGCUCCUGAGAGCACAGCAGUCCUACCCUAUAUAUACCUCUUCAAAUGCAAAAAAAUUUCACAAUUAUCUUUCCUUCCGGCGGUCGUUACUAUAACCAUAGUUAAAGUUUGGUUAAAUAAGGGUUAAGUUACAAAAUGACUAAUUUAGCCCUAAAAAUGUUAGGUAUUAUUUUGACAGCAAAUAAUUAGGGGGCAAUUUCAUAAGUACCAUUCGAAAUUUUAAAAAUAACAUCUCUAGCACUAAUUAGUGGGUAAAAAAUACAGAAAUCCCUCACCUAUAGAUCAUUCUGAACUAGACCCCUUUAAGUUUUAUUUUUUAACAUUAAGAGCCCUUGAACUAUCAGUUUUUCUUUAUUUAGACUUUACUUAGUUAAAAGCUUUUUAAUUGUGAUCCCUUACAUGAAUUUGAUAAAAUUUUUAAUUUUGUUGGGAAAAAACAUUCGAUUGCUAAAAUUUUUUUUAAAAAAUUUUAGAUCAAGUCGUUUUUAGAUUACUCGUUUGAUAGAUAAAUGAUGUCGAAAAAUUAUGAAAUUUAGUUUUUAAAUACUUUUAGAUUACUCGUUUGAUAGGUAAAUGAUGUCGAAAAAUUAUGAAAUUUAGUUUUCAAAUACUUUUAAUAGUAUAGAUCAAAUCUAACAGAGCCGAUCGUCGAUUUGGAAGCCGGAUCAUUGAAAACAACUUGGUGGUACGGAGACCUCCAUGCUACCGAUAAUAUACCAGCCUAACUCUCUAUAUAUAUAGUUUUGCUACAAUACUAUUGGUAGUACAGUUCAGUUUACUACGAUUUGUUUUCAAUGAUAGAGCUUGCAAAUUGACAAUCAACAUCGUUAAAUAUGAUCUAAACCAUUUAAACUAUCUGAAAAUCAAAUUUCACGCUUUUCCAAGUUAGGAUCAUGUCGAAGUGGACUAUAGGUGAGAGGGUUUUUAUAAAAUUUUGCCGUAUAAGCAAUAAAUUUUCAAUUAAAAUUUUUUUGUUUGAGCAAUUCAUAUAAGUAAUACUCUAAUAUCAAGAAUUUUAAUAUCAAAAUAUUUUUGCGUGAGAUAUGUGAGUUAUUUAAAUAAAAUUUUAAAAAAUAAAUCUUUAAAUAAUUAAUGUUGAAUACUACUAUAGACAAUUGCAUUACAAUUAUGUAUAAUUUAAAAGCAAAAAAUCAUAAUGAGAUUUAACUAUCACAUGCGCUUAAUAGACUUUAGAUCUUUAUAUUGUAGAUUUUUUUAAAAAAUUGUUAAAAUUAUUAUGUGAUUCAAACGUUAAAAAUUGAUCAUAUAAUUAAUCUUAAAUAUUACAUGGUUAAAUUCGUGCUAGGGGUAAAAUUAAUAUUUAUAAAAUAUUGGAUGACUUCUUAACGGAAAGUUAACCUAAAGGGUAUCUGUGAAUAUUUUUUGUUUUAAGAGGGGUAUUGAUGAUAUUUGGCCCGUUUGGCCUAGCUUCUGAAAAAGUGAUUUUUGAAAAAGUUAUUUUGGCUUGGAGAAAUGAUUUUGGUUAAAAACUAUAGAGUGUUUGGCUGAGUUUAGAUAAAAGCGAUUUUUCUGAACUGAUUUGAAAAUGCUGUUUGGCAAAUUUUUUUUGAUGUUUGCAUAAAUUAAUAAAUUUAUUAAAUUUUAUUUUAAAAUAAUUUAAAUUUACAUUUAAAUUUGAAUUAAAAAUAAAAUUUGAUAUUUUAAUUUAAAAAAUAAUUUAAAAAAUUAAAAAUUAAAAAUUUAAGAAUUUAAAUUUUAAAAUAAUUAUGAAAUUUAAAAUUUAAAAUUUAAAAUCUAAAUUUAAGAUUUGAAAUUUGAAAUUUAAAAUUUAAAAUUUAAAAUAUAAUAAUUAUUGAUGUUAAAAAUAUAAAUUUAUUAUUUAAAAAUUAAAUUUAAAAUUUAAAUUUCAAUAAUUAUAAUUAUAAAAUAUAAAAUUUGAAAUUUGUUAAUAUUAAAAUUUUAAAUUUUAAAAAUUUAUAAUUUGAAGAUUAAAACUUGUAAUUUAAAAUUUAAAAUUAUUAAAUUUUUAAAUUUUAAAUUUUAAAUUUAAAUUUUUAAAUUGAAAUUUUAAAAUCUAAAAUGUAAAAUUUUAAAUUUUAUCUUAAAUUUGAAACUUAAAAUUUGAAAUUUUAAAAUCUAAAAUUUGAGAUUUGAAAUUUGAAAUUUAAAAUUUAUAGUUUGAAAUCUAUUUUUCAAAUUUUUAAAUUUGAAAGUUAAAUUUUAAAAAUUCAAAAAUGAAUAUGAAAAUGAAAAAUUAAAAUUAAACAUUGAAUUGAAAAUUAAAAUAAAAAUUUAAAGUUUGAGUGCAAAAUUAGAAUCAGAUUUUAAGAAGCAGUUUUUUUCUGCUUCUGUUUUUGGGGCCUUCAAAAUCAAUUUUCUUAUUCUACAAGGUAGAAUCAGAUUUUAAAAAUGAGGUUGUCAAACGGUCUGUUGAGCCGAAAAUUACUUUUGAACCCAAAAACACUUUUUAAAAGGUAGGCCGAAUUCCUCCAUCUAGUUUAGAGGAUUAUUCGUGAAAUU